rnacentral:lncRNA from 1 species
CUCCGCGCCUGCACAGAAACACGUGUCAACCGUUUCAGAAGCGCGAGUGCCAAGCCAGAGCCUCUCACCCCGGGGACUGGGCUGAGCUAGUCCAGCUCAGUCUUGGAAAUCUGUCGGAUGCAGACAAGAGACAGGUCUCCAGAGUCGAGGACCGCACAGCAGCCCUGGUCAGCAGCUCUGCAGAGGUGCUGGUGUCGGACGCUGGGACUUGUGAUAUCAGGGGACGGGGAGGAAGAAAGCAGCCCGGAAAUGGGUGUUAGCAGGGCACAGCAAACCCAAGCGCCUUAAAGAGUAACGAGCCCAUUUCUCAUUCUUUUCCCUUCCCCGGAACUUUCGCAGCGCCCUGCACAAUUUCAGCCUGUACUUGACAUUCAAAUGCAUGUAGGAUCAUGCAUCUCAUUUCUCGGUGGUUCCCAAGUCGCCUAAAUAAAGCAUUUCCCAGGGUAGGCGAUCCCGGGGGUUAGGACCGUGGGAGCAGCCCUGGGACCUCUCUGCCUGGGUCAGGAAGGCUGCUCUUUCCGGAAGGGCGGCAGAGACCCUGGGAACUGGACCAGCCCAGCUCGCAAGUAUGAAGAGAAUGCAGGGGGAGGAAGUGGCGGCUGAGAGUCAGCAUGAGUCAUCGUCCCAAUGAGAAUGAGGGCCGAGGUGUGCGCCUUUUUCUUUUUUUUUUGGUCUUGAUUGCGUGGACAUCACUGGGAAUGGAGGGAGCCGGUGGUGACUGUACCGCUCGGUCAGUUUUAAAGCAGCGCUCCGUGCGGGCAGGCUGGGCCUGAGCAUGACUUUGGUCCCCGGGAAGGAACAGCCCUCAGCUUCUCCCUGGUGAGUAUGUGCCUGUCAUUUAUCCUCAUUGCUCAUGGUGCGUCCUGGAGUGGACGUGGGUUUUGGGAGACGUUGAGGGUCUGUGCGUCUGGAGAAGCGGCUCUCUGCCCCCCCAGCCUGGGGCUGCUGGGUUUGGGCUGGGCUCUUGGAGGAGGUGUUUGGUGGCUCACUGUGACAGCAUCUUGCUGUCUUGGAGGGAGACUCGAGAGGAGGUGCUUGGCUGGAGAGGAGCGGUCAGGCUGCUCCCAGGGCACAGAGGUUCGGAGGUGGAGGUGUCUGGAUUUUGUGCAAGCCCCAGAGCUGGGCCGUUGGCUUCUGCUUCUCAGGCUUGGAGGAAAGAACCCUGGAGCAAACUGUGGCCUCUGGUCCCUGCAGCCCAGGCAGAGCUGCCCGGCUUCGGUAAAGUGUCCACAGGAAGAGGGUGGAGGUUGUUCUUCCUUCCCUGGACCCGAUGAAUGAGUCCAGGGGCUUAUUUUAUGUCCUUUCCUUCCCUUGGAUGCUGAGAGUCACAAAUUGGUAAAAUCAGGAAGGAAAGAAGCUGAGGGGCCAGGGCGGGGGUGGACGAGGGUCCUGGAGGGCUGGGGGCUGAGUGGCCUGACAGCGAGCAGCCCCUAUUCGGCUGGCUUUACUGCCAAGUGACCCCAGGAAGCCUUCUUUUAAUGUCACCCCGUUACUGUAACUGGGACGGUUGAAAUGUCAUAAAUACCUUGUGAUAAACACUUUUCGAAUUUGCCUAAGAGGCAGCCCCGGGGCCAGCAGGCAUGACGGGGAGCUUUUUCAGAGCCACCUCGGGCUCUGAGUGGCAGCUUCCUGGGUUGACAAUGACUCAGCAGUGACUUUCUGAACCUGGGGGUGCUUCUAGGGCUCAGCUGCUGGGCCCUGGUUGACACUGCUGCCACGGCUGCUGGGGGCCUGGGGCUCUCGGGGGCCCUGGGCUCCGCUGCAAGGCGCCAGCUUGGGGUCUGGUGGUGGAGGUGGGGAUGUCGCCUCCUGUGGCCAGAGCUGGUGACUUCUAGGCCCCCCUUGAGGAUGUGGCUGAGCAACAGUGAUGAAUGAGCCCUCAGGCUGCGCCCGCGUCCUGGCCACUGGCUGGCUGUGGGUCACACAAACUGAGGGGUGGGGCAGGAGGGUCGGUGAGGCCCGGAACCUCGAAGCUGGAUGGGUGACACGUAGGAGGGAGGUGAGGUGGGCCUCAAGUCAGAGGGCCACGGUCCAGGAGGGAGGCUUCCCUGGUGUGGGCUGGGCUUUGCACGGGCAGCCUUGGGGCACAGCAGCCCUGGGACAUGACAGUCCUGGGACACAGCAGCCCUGGGGCACACAGCCCUGGGGAGCAGCCCUGGGUUCUGUUUGGUGGCCCAGGUGGUUUUCUGAGGGCAGAUAAGGCUGGGUGGGGUCCCAGCUCUGGGUCACAGGCCCUGCCACACCCUGAGGCUGCCGCUUGGCAAGAGCCCUGGAGGGCAGCUCUGAGGCUGAUGGCCCAGCCCUGCUGCCCUGGCUGAGCUGGCCUCAGGCCCUGGGCUGGCCUGAGCUCCCAGCCAUGGAGAAGAAUGGCCCUGCGGUGCCCAGGCCGGCAGGGCCUGUCCAAGGCUGAGGACUGGGCCAGCAGGGAGGCCCUGUCUGUCUGUCGGUCUGUCCUGGUGAUUGGUCCACCCUGGACCUGAGGCACUUCCAGGGAAGGUGUGGGAAGGUGCCGUGGGCGCAGGCAGGGACCCAGGAGGCAGCUGCCCCAGGCCAUCGCGGGUCCCACACUCUGACCCCGUGCAUCUCUGAGUCCCCCGUGAGCAGGGCUGGGCCAGGGCUCCAGGUGGUUGGCAGUGAUGGGGACUAUGCAGGUGGGCCACCUCUGACCCAGCAGGAUCCAGCCUGGGGUGACCGACAUUCCCACUCCUGUGAGUAGGCAGCGUCACUUGCUAUGCCGCAGACACAGGGCACACGGGUUGCUCACGAGGUGGCAUGGGGCUCGGGGCGGGGGGGGGGGGGGGGAUCCAGCUACCAAAAGUUCACUCCAAGUGUGGUUGCAGGCAGGACAAAGAGGGGAACUUCCAUGGUAGAAAUGGAGCCUGUGUUUUAGAAGGACAUGAUCUCAAAAAGGAAAUGCCCACAGAUCAGUGCCAUCGGGAAGUGCCUGGGGGUGGGCACAGAGCCCUCUACCUGACCCCCGCUGCCCCUUCUCCACCCUCCCCAUACAGGGGCCUCUUUGUGCCUCCAGCCCAGGGGCUUCUGCUGUCCCACCCUAUGUCCCGCCCGGUGCACCCUGUGUCAGGCUGGUUCCUCAGGUGCUUGGAGUCCCCGUCCUCACAGUGGCAUGAGUGUGAAGAUGGCCCCAGGCUCGUGCGCUCCUGUGAAGGGGCCAGAGGGCUCCAUGACCCUCAGAGCCACGUCCAUUCACUUAGAGAAGCAUCCAGACACCGGGGCUACCUGGGCACGCCUGCCUGUGGGCAUCCACCAAGGAAGGAUUCUGGGCUGAGUCCCUCUGGUGGCCUCCUUGCCCGGCGUGACCUCUGCUCUCAGGGCAACUAUAUAUACAUUUUUUUGAGGUGGGGGAGCAGGGAUUGGACAGGGCAUUUAACACUGACCCUGCCCCCAGCCUGUCUGUCUAUCUAUAUUAUUUAGAGACAGGGUUUCUCUGAGCUGCUUAGGGCCUCGCUAGUUGCUGAGGCUGGCCCUGAACUUGGUCCUCCUGCCUCAGCCUCCCGAGCCGCUGUUACAGGCGUGCGCCACAAGGCCUGCCUGGGAAUAGAUAUUUUUAGGUAAGUGGGAAAUGCUCCUGGUCCUCGCCAGGGCAGCCUGGGUCCCCGAUGUCAUCACAACCUUGGGAUUGUCAUUGUCACUGUGGUCAACAUCAGAGUUCAAAGAACAACUCCCCGUUCGUCCAGGUCAACCACAUGCUGGUGCCUGCGGAAGGGAAUACAGGAGGAACAGGAGACGGAGGAGGGAUGCAUUCUGGGCAGCGAGGCUCUAUUCAGCUCCAUAGGGCACAUCGCGGGGCACAUCGCGGGGGCCUUGGUGAGAGUCUGGGUUUCAUGGGGUUUAGCGGAGCCAGGUCAUGGGGGAAUUACUUUGGGGGGCAGGGCCAGGUAAUGGGGGAGUCCAGAGUGGGGCAGGGGACGGGUGAGCAGCCAUACCCUGCACUGGGGACAUGGGUGUUCCCCCUGCCUCCCACCUCAGAGGCCAGGGCCACAGCUCCUUGGAGAUGCUCUGGGGCGGGGUCCCCUGGCACCCUCUCCGUGUGGGGCUCCAGGGUGACCAGUGCAGACUGGACAGCUGGCCUGGGGCCUGCCCGAGGGCAGGGCAGAGCGGGACUGUGCUCUGUGUCCCCAGCAGCACCAGCUUGGCUUGGCCGUCCAGUCUGUUUACUGGUCACGGGGAGACGGACUGAAAGGUAUGAAGAAGACAAACCAAGCCAGGGGCACGGCUGUGGCCUUCUUCAUCCACCCCACUCUCGGGACCACACAGGGGCCAGGAGCCAGAUCCUCACGCCCCACCUGCCAGGGUCCGCGAAAGGUAGCACAGGCCCUUCCAGAAGCUUCUGUGCUGUGUCCCCUCUGAGAGCUGGGCUUCCAGGCGGCCUGAGGGUGGGGUGCAGGGGGGGGCUGAUGGUGGGUGUGGUGGGGGUCCCUGCAAGAGGCGCUGGAGCCAGCAUGGACUCCCCUGCCCGUGGGCGGGGCAGGCAGCCUGUCUAGGGUGGGUCAGGGGCAGGGACAGGGCCCUGCAGGCGCCGACCACAGAUCAGAAGGAAGUUGGGCCCCAGGAAGCAGGAGUGGGUGGGGUGCUGGCUGCCGAGGAUUCCUUCUGACUCAGAAAACAUAGCUGUUACUGUCGNCGGAGGAGGGAUGCAUUCUGGGCAGCGAGGCUCUAUUCAGCUCCAUAGGGCACAUCGCGGGGCACAUCGCGGGGGCCUUGGUGAGAGUCUGGGUUUCAUGGGGUUUAGCGGAGCCAGGUCAUGGGGGAAUUACUUUGGGGGGCAGGGCCAGGUAAUGGGGGAGUCCAGAGUGGGGCAGGGGACGGGUGAGCAGCCAUACCCUGCACUGGGGACAUGGGUGUUCCCCCUGCCUCCCACCUCAGAGGCCAGGGCCACAGCUCCUUGGAGAUGCUCUGGGGCGGGGUCCCCUGGCACCCUCUCCGUGUGGGGCUCCAGGGUGACCAGUGCAGACUGGACAGCUGGCCUGGGGCCUGCCCGAGGGCAGGGCAGAGCGGGACUGUGCUCCGUGUCCCCAGCAGCACCAGCUUGGCUUGGCCGUCCAGUCUGUUUACUGGUCACGGGGAGACGGACUGAAAGGUAUGAAGAAGACAAACCAAGCCAGGGGCACGGCUGUGGCCUUCUUCAUCCACCCCACUCUCGGGACCACACAGGGGCCAGGAGCCAGAUCCUCACGCCCCACCUGCCAGGGUCCGCGAAAGGUAGCACAGGCCCUUCCAGAAGCUUCUGUGCUGUGUCCCCUCUGAGAGCUGGGCUUCCAGGCGGCCUGAGGGUGGGGUGCAGGGGGGGGGCUGAUGGUGGGUGUGGUGGGGGUCCCUGCAAGAGGCGCUGGAGCCAGCAUGGACUCCCCUGCCCGUGGGCGGGGCAGGCAGCCUGUCUAGGGUGGGUCAGGGGCAGGGACAGGGCCCUGCAGGCGCCGACCACAGAUCAGAAGGAAGUUGGGCCCCAGGAAGCAGGAGUGGGUGGGGUGCUGGCUGCCGAGGAUUCCUUCUGACUCAGAAAACAUAGCUGUUACUGUCGUGCGCGUGAUGGCCCAGCGGGGUCGGGAUGGCCCAGCGGGGACGCUGGUCUUCUCCACACGGUUCUCUGCUGCUCUUUGGCUUUGAGAUGGAGGAAUCUGCAAAGCCAGGCUUUGGCCCCUCUCCACCCUGUGCUUUUAAAAACUUCAUAGGAAUUUUUAAACUAUGGCAGAAAACAUAUUAUUUCGGCUCUUCUCCUUGCACAGACGGUUCACAGAGCAUGAGAAGGACGCACAGGUUUCUAUCCGUUCCGCUGGACACAAGAAAACUUUAUGAAACAGCAGUGGCCCCCAGAGGACUCUGACUUAUUAUCUCCCACACAGAAAAAGGAUUCUGUCCCCGUCAUGUGCUCUUCUCUGACAGGAAGGGAGACGCUUAGGGCAAGGUCAACGGACAGACUGUCCAUCCAUCCCCUGCUCUCUCAGCCUUCCCCCAGCUUGUCUUAGAAUUCCAAGAAGGUUGCUGGAGCUCCGGCCAACACCUAUGCAUUUAGGAGGCAGGAAGAAAGUGGUGGACAAAAGGUUGAGACUCCUGUGUCAGCCUCCUUAAAGGGCUUUCUAGGACCCCCGUGGGCCUGCGCCUCUCACUUGCCAGCCUACCUGUAAGGGGCUGCAGGAGUGAAGCAGACCCUUUCUAAACACUCCAAACAGGAGCCAUUGGCUCUGUGGGAAGCAGCCUGGGCUUGGAGCCGGGUCUGAGGUCCUCUCUGCUGCCCUUGGGGACGGGGACGCAGAGCAUGGUCCCAACAGAGAGAGCCGGCAGGAGGCACGGGGUACACAGAUUCCUGGCUCUGAUGCUUCCUGCCCCGGCAGGGCCCAGCUGGGGGAGGUGACCCUCUUUGUCAGUCACCUGGGCAGCCACAGCAAUCUCCCUGGUGGCUUCUCUCCAGGGAGGUCCAGGGUCCCAGCCAGGCUGUCCACUGAGCCCGGCCUCUGUGAGUGAUGGUGCUGCCCGGCCUCGUGCCUCCCUCCUGCGUGGACCGGGGACAGAGAGGCCCCUGUUCAGAGGACCCAGACACAGGGUGUGAGGAUUGUCCCUGUGUCUUCAGGGACAGCAUGAGGCUGCUGAGAGCGUGGUGGCGAGAGCCGUGGUGGCCUUGCAGGCAUCAGCAAGCAGGGUCUGCGGUCUGACCGCCACGGCUAGCGGCUCAAGGCCCCCGACGCCCCGUCUCUGAGGCCCCUCCUGCAGCUUCUGGAGGGAGAAAGUCGCAGAGGAGUGGAGCCAUUGCCCAGCGUCCACUCCCAGGGGAUGGCAUAAAGACAGAGCAGUCCCUCCUGAAGCCGUCCUCUUCUGCUCCCUGUGGGGCAACAACUGGCAGGUUGUCGGGGCGACAAUGUUUCCAACUUAGAAACUGCAUUUCUCAGGCCCUUUCCAGAUAGAGUGGCCAGUGAAAGAUUAGACCCAAAAGCUUCACAGGGGAUUCUGGGAAGACUCUUUAAAGGAGCCUGCAUCUAACCUUUUGCCUACCACUUCCCUUCUGUCUCCUGUCUGGAGUGCAGAGGUGAUGGCUAGAGCUCUAGCAGCCUUGUUGGCCACUUCCUCAUUAAACACACACACACACACACACACACACACACACACACACACAUUAUGACUUCCUUGGCUUAAAGAUCGCUAGCAUCCAGGCUGGGUGUAUUACUAUAAAUCUAUUUCUAUUAGAUUCAUUUUUCCCUUUGAUUUCAAAAUACAUUAAAACAUUUUUGUGGGCUCCUGAAAGUAGCAUGACCCUGUGUACUGGACCCUUUAUGCCCGGUGGAGAAGUAGGCCCUAGAGGGCAGAGAAGGGCCAGGGAAGGGCCUUGCUGGAGAGCUAGGAGGCUGGGCUCCCGAGGGGCAGCUCCUGAGGGGCAGAGGGUGGACAGCAGCACUGGGGAGCGGGGGCUUCACUCGCCCGAGCUCGGCAGACAGCUUUGGUUGCUGGUUCACUGGCCUUGGAAAUGGUGGUGUGGACGUUGGGCACCGGCUCUUCUGUCCUCUGCCUGUUUUUAUUCCGUCGUCCCUCAUCCUCUCCUGUGGAAUCUCCUCUACUUGCCCGACUGAGUCUUCAGUGGGUAUGAAUUUCAGUCUCCUACAGAAGGUACCAGAAAGUGAUGGCCCUCGGGGCUGGGGAUGUGGCUCAAGUGGUAGCGCGCUCGCCUGGCAUGAGUGCUGCCCGGGUUUGAUCCUCAGCACCACAUCCAAACAAAGAUGUUGUGUCCGCCGAAAACUAAAAAAUAAAUAUUAAAAUUCUCUCUCUUUCUCUCUUACCACUGUGUCCUCAUCUGUCCUCAUCUUGGCCUACGUGAUGCCAGAAAUCAGGGGCAGGGUCUGUGGGGGCCGGCAGCCACCAGGGCGCUUUGACACCUGGGGACUUGGUGUGCCUGGCUGCAAGACCUGCACGGUGGCGGUGGCCUGGUCCCUGACCACAGGUGAUGAGCACAGCGAUAGCAGAGGAACAGAAAGGGACAGCUUUAGGGGGCCUGGGGGUCACACAGUGCCUUCCACGGCCUCUCAACAGCACCAUCCAGCAGCAGCUUCCGCCGUGACGGGGAUGGUCUUUCUGCCAGGCCCGCAGUGACCACCAGCCCUACGUGGCUCCUGAGCAAUGGGAAGGUGGCCAGUGUGAUUAGAACUGACCCGGAAGUUUUAUUUAACGUCAGUGGAUUUAUGCCCACAGCCACCUGUGGUAGCCGCUGCAGGUUGGCAGGUGAACUUUCCUGUCUGAGGUUGGACAUCCUUGCAAUAGUCCCCACCCCACCCCGCCACUGUCCACAGCUUUCCUUUCCUAGUUCCAGUUACACGUGAUCAAGUAAGGUCCACAAAGCAUUACAUUCCAGAAAUAAUCGAUCUGGGACUUUUAAAUUGCUUGCUGAGCCGCAUGAUGGAAUCCCUCACCAUCCUGCUCCCUCCUGCCGGGAACGCGAAUCAGCCCUUGGUGCAGUGUAUCCACACUGUAUCUGCUACCUUCCCGUUCAACACAGAGAAGCCACAGUGAUGCCGGCGAUUUUAUCAUAGAUAUUGUUACAGUUGUUCUAUUCUAUGGUUAGUUACUAUUGUUAACUCUCUCAUGUGCCUAACUUGCAAACUUUACCCUAGUAAGAAUGUAUAAGAAAAAAAUAAGCUAUGCAGGAUUCGGUGCCAUCUAAGGUUUCGGGCAUCCUCAGGGGUCUUGGAUCGUCUCCUCUGUGGAAAAGGGGGGGCUACUGUACUCUCCUGUGUUUCACCUCAGGGACUGAUUAGAUUAGCAUAAGCAAACCUCAGAUCAGGGUCCUACCAAGUACCCGAAGCUGGCUUUGGGUGGCUUUUUAAGAGAGAAGCAUUAGACCUGGUGCAGACACAAUGGGCUGAGACCUGGGCUGUCCCUCCCCUGAGCCACCCAUCAAGUUCCAAGAGGUUGCAAACAACUUGUCCACCACACACAGUGCCUCAGCUCUAGCUAUGUGGACUGUCCUUCCCUGGGGAGGCCGUGAAGCACCCUGGUCAUGCCCCUGCCUGGGCCAAACGCCAGCUCAGCUAGUCACCUGCUGCACACACAGCCCGUAUUCUGUGCCCGGCCUCAGUUUCCUGAUCUGCAGAAUGGGUGUUCAGGAGCAGCUACCACAGGGCACAAUCCUCUGGAAGGCACUGCGCCCAACAGGUGCUCCGUGGUGACGGCUCCAUGGUGACAGCUGUGCGCAGGGGAUUUUUUGUCUUUUUGCUGUUUGUUCCUGACCAUGGUGCCUUUCUCUGGACACUCACCCACCAGCUUGGGGCCACUUUCAUUACCGAGACUCUGGGUUCACUGGGUGCCAGGGCAGUUCCGGCCAUAGCAGUCCCUCUGAGAGUCCCCGCAGUCACCCAGGAGCCCGUCCCCUUCCCCAGGCAUCCCUGUGCAUGCUGUGUUUGUUCCUGGCUCUGUCCCCUGGAGCCACUCGAUGGCCCUGUGAUUCUAAAGAGGGUCAGGUCACUGUUCCUGGGCCCUGGCUUGCCGGGCACCACUGCACCAGAAAGGACUCCACGUCCACUCUCCCUCCUCUCCUGGGAAGUCCCCAGGGACACUGUGUCAGCAUCCGGGUCCUGCUGCCCUCCUGGGCGUUCGGCCAGCACUGACCCUCCUCCUCUGAGCACAGGGACCUCCCUGCCCUGGACUCAGGCUGAGGCUGUUGGCAACCACGUGCAUCUGUUGGACCCACAGAGUCCUAAUAGCUGCUGACUCGGGGACGCGCCACUGGCCACCCCUCUCUGUUCUGGGUCUGAGUUGGCCAUUUUCUUGUUUUUGAUUUUUUUUAAACUUCAAUCAGACUUGACGUCGUCCUGAUGCAGCCCCGAUGAGGCUCGCGCUCUUUUGCAGGAGGUAGGAGCAGGGGGCCACUCUUCUGCACCCUCGGGAGACUGCAGGUCAGUGGGGACCGAGAGCUCUGCCCCAGGCUGGCUCCAGGUGCCAGUGUCCCAGCAGGCAUCUCCUGGGUGCAGGCUGCCCCUCUUGCUGCAUAGGAUGGCCCCAGGGCCCUGGGAACAUGUCAGAGGUUGAGCGGGCGGAGCUGGGCGCUCAGCCUUCUCUGUAGGGCUCUGUCCCCGUCCUGAGGCUCAGGUGUCCUGGCUUUAGCCACUUCUGUGUGGCCGCCCUGGGGUCUGUGGUCUGGAGGCGACCAAUCCGCCUUUGAAGCUGGUGCCCCUGAGCCCAGCCUGACAGGUGCUGGCUGCCCAUCUCCGUGCAGUGGUCUCUUUGAAGUCCCCAGAAGCGUCUCUCACGGUCCUGCUCGCAGAGGGGAGCCGGGGCCACGGGGUGGGUGGAGACUGCCACCCAGCAGUUCAAGAGGUGACUGCAAGGCAGGAGGUUCUGAGAGGAAAUGAGUCCCGGUCUCACCUGCCUCUGUGACCACGGGCCUCUGCCAUCACAGGCUGAGCCUAUCGUGGGGCACCUGGACACCACAGGACCUGUCACUCAGGGGUGGACAACGGCUGCCUGUCCAGCCCUAAAGGAAUGCAGCCCUCGGGGCUGGACAAGUGGCAACGUCUGUGUGACUCAUCCCCAGCAGCUGUUCCAGGGCCCAAUGAGUCCUGAGCAGCACCCGGGGCUGGCGCUCACCUGGACAGGGCUCUGGCUGGUGGGCUGACCUUCUGCGGAAGCUUCCAGCAGCUCUUGAGAAGAGCAGAUGGGAUGUCUCCUGCCACCUGCGAAGGAGGCCAAGGAAGGACGCGGUUGUCCAGCUUUAAUUCAUUUUGUGAAGGAGCUGAAAGUGGAACUGUAUAAACAUCCUCAGCAAUGGGACCUUUAUCUUCUUAUUUCUCACAAAAACUAUCACAAAGAGCUUUUGCUUUCUUUUUCUCUUUCUCUCUCUCUUUUUGCUUUUGUUCUCUGGUGCUAGAGCUGGAACCCAGGGCUUCGCGCAUGCGGGGCAAGUGCUGAGCCUCUGAGCUGCCCCAACCCCCAGCGCCCUGGCCCCCAGUGCCCUGGCCCCCAGCGCCCCCCGCCCCAGUGUCCCCCGGCCCCCAGCCGCCCUUUCAUAGUCAGCACCUGAGACCGAGCUCUGUGUCCUGAGCUCCACUGGCCGCCUCUGGUGCAGGAUGGGCAGCUUCCCUUGUGAGUCCUUGGGGUCCUGGGCUCUUCCAGGCAUCCCCUGGGGAGGUUGGGACUUAUGGACAGGAGGCCCUUGCCAGAGGGGAGCCACCCUGUAUGGUCUCUAUCCCCAGUGAAGCCCCAAGGGCCGGAGUGGUAAGUUGCCGUCAGUAGGAUCGGUGGUGGUUUUGAGGUGUGCUCUCAGGGGACUGGGACUUCACUCCCCAGGUGACAGUCCUCAGUGAGAGCUGAGACUUGGACACCACAUGCUUCAGGAGGGUUCCCAGAGUCACCCUGACACCAAAUUGUAUUUGCAAAGCAGAAGGGCUAGGAAGCGGGUCUUGGAAGGAGGUCGGAGUGUGGGCACCAAACCUCUCCUGGGGACAGCAGGGUGGGGGGCUGAAGGCACCAGCCUGGGUGGGUUUUCACGGCCCCCUCUCUGGGCCUGAGCUGUUCUAAGGGGUCACACACUUUGGCCCCCAUAGUGACUGUCAGAGAUUAUCCCCGUUUCCUAGGGAGGAGGCAGAGCUGAGGUCACCCAGCGAACAGGUAGGGGAGCCAAAGGAAGGCCACCGGCUCUCCACCUGUCCCAGCAGCUCCUGUGCACACAGCCACCGUCCUGAAAGCAGGGGACGCUGUCCUUGCAGCAGCAGCCUCAGGGUGCCCAUGACAUUAGAGCCAGCAGGUGGCAUGAGAGCCGAGAGGCUGGGGCUCGGGGAGUGCGGCCCCGUCUGGCCAGCCCUGUUCCUUGCAGAGGCCAGGCCACAGUGGGGGCCCCUGGGGAGCACCUCUAACAGGGGCAGGAGUUUGAGCUGCCCUGAGCUCCUGGCCUUGGGUACCCGUGAUCGACACCUUAGCAGAGACGUGGACAAGAGAGCAGAUGCUUACCGGAGGCCUUCGGGGCGCGAACUCAGGGGGAGGAUGGCCCAGGGAACCACAAGAGGGGGACGGACCGACGCCGGCGGCUCUGCUCAGGGCCUGUGUGUGGGUUGACUGGGGCUCCGGGGUCCAGUACUCUCCGCAGCUCAGAAGCUGACCUUGUUUGGCAACAGAGUCCUGGAGCAGGGUGGGCCCCUAGUCCAGUGUGACUGGUGUCCUUACAAGAAGAGGACAUGUAGCAGCCGACACACACACAGAGAAUGUCACGGGACUCUGGAGUCACCCCGUAGCAAACCAGGAACAGCAGAAGCUCAGAGAGAGGCCUGGAAUGGACCCUCCCUUCAGAGGGGCGCAGCUGACCUCUGAUCUCCGACCAGGCCUUCAGCGUGUGAGCAACAAACGUCCCCUGUGAGAGCCACUUGCUUGGUGGUGUGUAGAUGGCAGCCUUCACAAACGGAUAUGGAGUGGACUCAGGGUACAGUGUGUCCUUCCAGGUGGCUCCUCCGAGCAGGCCCCGGAGCCCCAGGUCUGCGGCUACUCCAGGGCUGUCUGUCUGCAGGACGGGGCGCACUGGCGACCCGGGAGCAGGAGAUCAGGAUGCUUUCUUACUGAAGUGCACCAAUGUUCCUGCUGUCUUUGAACUUUCCGCGGGCGGCAGAGAAUCAAAGGUUCAGACGUGGAAUUUGGUCUUUCCAUUUGCUAAGACAAAGGCAAGACGUGUUUCAUCCUUACCGGUGACGUGACCCACACUCCAGUGGGCUGUGGAUGUGUCCCAUGCAGGGACCACGGGGUCCCCCAGACUGGUGGCUCCCAGCUCAGGUGAACCGCACACCCAGAGUCUCGGCCGCAGCGGAGACUUUCACCCGAACUGUAGUUUUCCUUUUCCUAUGCCUUUCUCUGGUGCUCUCCAGCAUCACCUCAAGUGACAAGUGACAGAGAAGGGACAGAGGCCAAAUGUCACCUCUAAUGUGUGUCCUCUUGGCCUCAUUUCCUAGUUAUGGAACAAGGGUGCUGGGUGAGCCUGGCAGAAACAGGGUUCUACCAAAAGUUCAGAAAAACAGGAACCCUCAGUUCAUGAGAACCCAAAGAGAAAAAUAGUUUAAAGAACCGAGAACGUGCCACAUUAUAGUGAAAGAGUGUCAGGUUUUGGAAAUGACAAAAACGAGCCAUUGCCACCCCGAGAAGCCCGCAGAUCAGUCACACGAGAGCUAACCGCACACAAACACAGGCAUUUCUUAUAAAACCCCGGGCUUUACAGUCAAGUCGCCACUCCAGGUUGUUCAUGGAAAGUUAUUCUCGUCGCGGGGUCACCUUCAGCUAUGAGUGUGUGUCAGGAGAGCGAAACCGUGACUUCAAAGUUGGGCGGUGACUGAGACUCAGAACUGGAGUGUCCAGACGGUGCCCAGGCAGCCUCCGCUGGGCCCAGAGGUCCUGCCAUCCCUGCCCACUUGGCAAGUAUGGCCAGGCUGCUCUAAGGUGACAGCUGAGAAGCACCAGGGGACAGACACCCAUGGGCACAGGGACCCCAAGUAUCACGGCCCAUUACGGAGAAGGGGCCGUGCUGUCUCCUGCCAGCUCAGGGUUUAGGAGAAACCCCUUCAGAUCUUUCUAGCACCAGGGACAAGUGGUGCUGCCAGCCAGGCCCCCAGUCCUCGGCUUCUGUGCACCUUUGACAGCGGCGUCACCAUCUCCCACGCUGUUAACCCCCUGGCAAUUUAUAACCACACAGUCGAAGUCCUGCCUUGGCCUCCGUGUCCAUGGCCACCUGACUCAGCAGUCACACAGGUGGUCCUGACUGAACGCGGGCUCUGCAUCUGGGGCUGCGUUUAGAACACCCCCCCGCCCCGCCACCCCCCUGCUGCCCGCUGAAGUUCACGGCACAAGUUUAACAACGCUGUAGCUAUACAUUGAAAAGGAUGUGCCGGAGCACAUGCAGCCUCCAGAGACAGUGAUCCUAAAAUCAAGGAUCCUAGGCAGGCGCCAUAGUGCAGGCCUGUAAUCCCAGCAGCUCUGGAGUCUAAGGCAGGAGGAUAAGUCUGAGGCCAGCCUCAGCAACUUAGCAAGGCCCUAAGCAACUCAGUGAGACCUGUCUCUAAAUAAUAACCUCUAAAUAAAAGAUCUGGCAGACAAAAAGAAGACCCUAUUAAUUGAUCUUUUACAAAUAACCUGCUCAUAGCUCUGCCCAUUUAUUCCCUUCUCCCUCCUUCUCUCUCUCUCUCUCUCUCUCUCUCUCUCUCUCUCUCUCUCGAUUUCCCACUGUUCAUAUACAUGCUGCCCACUCCUCCCUCCCGGCCGGUCUUGGCUACUGUGCUGCUCACUGUGCAGAUUCCUUCUAAAGCGGAUGUUAUUUUUGAGGCUCAGGCUUCAUCUGGCUUAGAAAGUCUGUUCCCACCCCUUGCUUACAAAAUAUUCUCCCUUUUGUUCUGAUACUUCAUAAUUUCAUUUUCGAAGUUUUAAAACUAGGAAAUCCAGUUUGAGGCCUGUCUGUGGUUGCAGCAGGGGUCUAACUUUCCCCUAAGGAGGCAGCUACUGUCCUGAAGCACUUCCUAAGUGGCCCCUCUUUCCCCGAGGAAAGGACGACUUUGAAGUUCCUAGGUCUUCGUGGUGGAGAUUCUGCCCUGGUUGAAGAGCCUCCAGCCCGGGGGGCUGUGCUCUGUGCUCUGCGAGGACCUGCAGAGCGGGAGGCGCCACCGGCUCUGGACACUGGCCGCAGGACACCUCUGCCCCGUGGAGACCCUCUGAGUUGGGAGCUGGAGGGUCCCCACGUCAUCCGCCAGCUGCAGGCUGCCCUGGGGUCUACCAGGUUCCCUGUUCCCGAUCCUCCUGCCGCCAUCCUGUCCUUGUGCCCCUGGAUGUCCUCCCCACACAGGGGCGUCGUCAGCCUGGCCUCGACAUUCAGGGACAGAGGGCACAGGUGAGAGGUGCGAUGGCCUUGUCACUCAGGAGACAGCUAUGCAAAUGAGCCCCCAGGGGGACGGGGACGCUGUGGCGGUUAGGAGGAAAGCAGUCCCCCCAGGCUCUUCCAACCCAGGCUCUUCGGGAUGGUGGGCGCAGGCUCCCGCCACGGGGAGGUGGCAGGCCAGAGCUGCUGGACACUGGUCCUCUCUGCCCUUUGCAGGCUCAGGCCACCUGGGGACGGUCAUUCCCAGCGUGGGGUGCCUCUAAGACAGCCCUGGAGGUCGGGGUGCCAUGACUGAGAGCACCCGAGUGGCUGAAGGAUUUGGAAAACCCGGGUUGAGCCAAGAGAAAUGUUUUUAUUUUUCCUGCACGACUUCCAGAGCUUCCGCCAUGAACUGGAAACAGCCACUCGCCUGCUUUAAAGGUCCCAGGAUGGCCCCAUGCAGCAGCCCGGGCUAAUCGGACAUGACCUGCAGCCUCCACGGGUCGGCACACGAACGCUGUGGAAGACUGGAAGGAGCCGGGCGCGGUGGCCACGCCUACAAUCCCAGAGGCUCUGGAGGCUGAGACAGGAGGCUCACGCACGAGUUCAAAGCCGGCCUCAGCAACUCAGCAAGGCUAAGCCACUCAGUGAGACCCCGUCUCUAAACAAACCAACAAACAAAAACCCAACAACUACAACAAAAAACAAUAAAAAACGGCUGGGGUGUGGCUCAAUGGAUGAGUGACCCCGGGUUCAAUUCCUGGUACAAAAAAACAUUUGAAAACAGUUCACAAGGAACAAAUUCCUGUGGGCUGAGGGACUUGCUGACAUUUGGUAAAGUUUCAGAAGUGGGACAAGGAUUCCGAAUGCCUCUGUCCAAGGCAGAGCAUGGUGGCAAGGGGUGGGCACUUCUAGGGCUUCUCGGCUCCUCCCUGGGGGACAGAUCCCAGUGUGGGGUCUUAUAUACUCGGUGAGGCAGCUGGAGGGCGCUGGCAACGGUUUGGGGCCGACAAUGGAACAAGCAGCUCAUGGCUUGGAUGAACAGCUCGAGGGCAGGACUGAAGACCCUGGAGUCCUGCAGCCUCGUAGAGGCCACUUUCAGCCUGGACACAUGGUGUGGCCGGCAAGGAGCAGGCCUGGACCUCAGAUGCGGGGGAAGGGCCCAGGAGAGCCACAGUCCAGGCAGAAGUGCAGCGUGGAGAGUGGGCUGGCCGUGAAUGUCACAGUGACCUUUCCAGAGCUCAGGGUGGACGGGCACAGUGGGCCUCCGUCUGUGUGAGGGGUGGCCGAUGUUCCUCUCACCCAGCAUUAAGAGGCUGAUGGGUGGCACUGUGAUGGAGUCGGCGAAGCAUCUCUAGGGGACUCCCCUGUCCCCCACGUGCAUGUUGGCUGAGCAGCCACCAACUGGGGUGACACCUACGUGCCAGGUGCCACCCCUGCUCUCUUUAGCAAGGCCAGCUCCUUUGCUGGGCUGUCCCUAGGGACACUAUGUGUGUGACCAGGCUCAUGACUCUGGCUACUGGGAACCAACCCCAGGCCUGGGCAGGCUGUGCUGCUUGGCUGGGUGGCUUACCCUUGCUGGCCAGCACCCAUGGUCCCACACAGGGUGACAUCUCACCCAGCUGAGACCUCUUGGUGUGGGGACCAGUGCAGUUCCCUGCUCAUUGCAUGGACUUGCGCACCCUGAAUCCCACGGGUUUGCGAGUUGAAGUUGCUCAUAAGGAUUGAGCAGCUCAUUUGGAAGUGCCCCAUGGCCUGGGGGGUCACAGGAUCCAAGUCUCCGACCAGGAACAUCUCUUCCUCCACCAAAGCUUGGUGUUUGGAGCAAAUCGGCUCCUCCUAACCAUCUGCAAAGAGACCAUCAGCCUCUGUGCUCACCCCUCCCGCCCACCCCACCCCUCAUGGGGGUUGCUGGUCCAUGCCCACCUGUGGACACGUGCUGGGGGCUCUGCCCUGCAUGCCACUAACUCCUGUUCGCUCUGCCACCAGGGUGGACCCCAGGAUGGCAGACGCUCAGGAGGCCGCCCACUGGUGGCUGGGUAACAUGAGGAACAGGAGAAGUCCAUGCGUUUGGAGUGGGCUCUCUGCUCUGGCUCUGCACGGCAGUCAGGGGGUAACGGGAGUCCGGGUGGAAAACAAUCAGCACACGUACAACUAGCACCCUAGGGUGGUCCUGAUGAAGACACAGGGGGUCAGAGAGGGCCCACAGCAGUGACCGAUGGCCUGGGCUGUAGGAGGGGGCAGUGCUGCAGGGGCUGCCGGGGGCGAGCCUGGAGAUGGAGGAGACGGUGACCCGCCCUGGGUUCUGUGGCAUGUGGACUAGACCGAGGCGCAGGUGGCCUGGGGGAGCAGGGUCCUCCUGGUGAUGGUGGGUGGAGGCCUGGGGCUCAGAAGGGGAAUUGUGCACUGUGUGGUGGCCGAUGCGCACAGAGGUAGAGGACCCUGGCUCUCCCUGGGUCCCCAGCUCCAGUGGGAAGGAGACUUCAGCAAACACGCAAUGGGCCCCGCAGCCCCUCGGGACCAUCCAUCUUUCCACUGAAGUGGACACGCUGGACAGUGGCUGGAAGUCCUUUGGGGGCCACUCUGGAGCCCGUCUGGAGCCAUGGUGAUAGGAGCCCUGACUGCUUUGGCCUUGACCCAGCCAGCUCCCAGGCCACCAGCUCACUGGGCCUGAUAGAAUGUGUCACUGCACCUGGCAGCCGUGACACUGCUGUGGGCCCUCAAAGCCAUUCCAGAAAGAGCUCGAGAGCCCGCCCGGCCAAGCCAACGCGAUUCCAGACACAGGGCUGGCGGGAAGGAUCAACGCGGCCUUCACUGACACCUUCCAUGUGCAAAUCUGUGCGACUCCAGACAGGACCGGAGUGGGCCGGCGGGUUUCCCUGGUUCCAAGCACAGAGACGAUUCCCUCCUUCUAACAAGCGAGGUCCAUCUGGAACAUUCCGCCUCCGCCUCUCAGCUGGGCCUUCUCAGGACUCCCCAGGGCUCCUGGGGCCUCCUGUCCCCUCCCCGUGGCGGCUGGCCAGAGCUCCACAAGACCUCAGCUGCGUCUCCACCAGUGACUUGGGCUCUGUGUGUCCAGCGCUCCUGUGUGGUUGACAGUGACGUCCUGGCUCUCCCGGGGCCCCUUGUGGUGUCGGAGUCACAGGGGGGACACUGUGGCGUACCCUGAGUCUGGACGGUGUGGCCUCCUCUGAGCAGGUGCCGAUGGCAGCCUCCACGGUGGUCAAGGAGGGAUGUGACCCCGGGCUCUGAGCUGGGCACAGCGUCCCUGGGCAGCAAACCCCAGCUCUGCUGUUAGCUUCUCUGAACUUGCUGUAGCAUUUUGCAAAGGGAUUUUUCCUUUCUGACACUCACCCAAGGCUGGAGAGGACCAGCCACCAUGGUGUCCAGCCCUGCAAGUCCUCUUGAGCUCUGCCAGGGCGGGAGGUCCUCUGUAAUGACCGGCAGCCCUGGCCUCCUCCUGAUGACUGAAGGUCUCUGGUUUUCAUUGAACUGGCCUGUGGGGGUUGGGGGCACUGCCAGCCUCUGGUCCACAUCCCACCUCUCCGUGCGGGAUGCUGCAGCCUGUCUACCAUGGGUGAGCCCCGCCAAGCACCCCCAACCGGAGUCCCUGGACCGCCUCACUAACAAGUCUUCUUAGAUGGCUAACAAGUCCCCUUAGGUCUGACCCCCUGCCCUGCAUCUUCUCGGCCGCCUCCCUCCUUCUGGAAGUGUGGAUCUUAGACAGAAAUAAGAGGUUUCCAAUGAGGUUGACCACCCAGAGCAAGAAGGGGCCACUGUCCUCUGCAGGGCCACCAGCACAUCUCGGGGCUCUGCUUAGCCCGUGGCCAUGCUCCAGUGCUAUCAAUGAUGGAAUCUCGCCAGAUUCUCUCCCGUUUAAUUUCUGUGACCCAGACGAGCCUCCACUGUUUUAAACUUGUGUAGUUGGGGUCUUUUCUUGUCCUCUUGCCUUGCUCAGGUCUGGAGAGCUCCCUGACUUACUAGUCUUGAGACCCCACGAGAACAUGGGGUCGGCUGGCAGAGGCCCGUCCUGCCCACCCUUCCUCUCGGAAGGUCAUCUGAGGCUUGCUCCUGGCGAUCUACUUUAGAACCUCGUCAAGGAGGAUCUGCGUCUCGGGAAUCAUGGAACCACCUUCCAGCUCUUUCUGGACACCAGAACUGCCCAGUCCCUUGAGCACUGAGACGCUCACUGUGCUGGCUCUGACCUGCUGGGCUACAGGUCACCAGGACGGAGAAGAGCUCUGUCCGUCGAUGUCCAGGUGUCCUGCACAAUUUCCACCCCUGGCCUGGGCUUCACGGGUCUGUGGGUCUUGCAUCUCUACAGUUCUGGGCUUGUAAGUUCCCGCCCGCGGCUUAGAGUACGAUCCUGCUAAGGCCUGCUAGUGCAUGGACUCCAUUUUCUUUGCAUGCUGAGUUUUCUAUGGCGACAGUGAGCUUAGCGUGGACCCUGCAAACACACCUUCAAAAUGAAACUGGGGCCAAGUGGGGGCCAAGGAAGGGUGUCUUUGAGGGAAAGAGGAAUUACUCUCUCAGCCAGGCGCAGUGACGCACGCCUGUCAUCCCAGCAGCUCGGGAGGCUGAGGCAGGAGGAUCGCAAGUUCAGAGUCAGCCUCAGCAAAAGCGAGGCACUAAGCAGCUCAGUGAGACCCUGUCUCCAAAUAAAAUACAAAACAGGACUGGGGAUGGGGCUCAGUGGGUGAGUGCCCCCGAGUUCAGUGCCCCGGGUACCUAAGAAAGAAAAAUAAAAAGAGAAAUUACUUUCCCCAAAAUGCCUCUUCCUUUGUAUCUACUGAUUGAAACUGUGACAUAUUUUAGGCAAAAAUGCAAAAUCAUUCUGAAUUUCAUAAAUAGUCAUGAUUGCGGAUUCAUAGAAUCAUUCUGGUCUAAGACUCAUGUGAUGAAAUCCCUGGGUAAGUUGUUUAACAGGACAGUGUGGGAGGGCCUCCUGUGUCCCUGCCCCACCAGGGACAGUGUGGAGGGCCUGCCUGUGUCCCUGCCCCACCAGGGACAGUAUGGGACAGUGCGCCUGUGUCCCCGCCCCACCAGGGACAGUGUGGGACAGCGUACCUGUGUCCCUGCCCCAUCAGGGACAGUGUGGAGGGCCUGCCUGUGUCCCCGCCCUACCAGGGACAGUGCGGGACAGUGCACCUGUGUCCCCACCCCAUCCAUUUUCCGCACUGUUUGUGGUCCUGGAAUUUCUUAGGUGAGUGGAUGUCCCCAAGUCACUUGCAUUCACUGCAAAUGAGUGACAUGAAAUGCAGGUGAAGUGACGCACACCUCAGGUUCUAGAACGUGCCUCGAGCGUGAGCCAGACAUUUGUUAAACCCCAGGGACACCCAGGAGUCUGGACGUGGCUGUGGUCACGGGCCGAGGCUGUCUGUCCACCCUUGGGGCCUGACUGCCCUUGGACUGGUGGAAGAGCAAGAGGGGACCCCGGCUGCUCUCCCUCCUUGCUGGUGUCCCUCUGGGCUCCACUCUUGACCUUCUGGGGAUUCUCUGGCUGACAUCUGUCCCUGCACUGGGGCUUUUAAAGCAGCUGCGGUGCAGAGACCUCACUGUCCCCUGGCUGUGGACUUGGGAUGAGGGAUGAGGCCGGAGGCCCCGGGGGGCGCAGGGAGGCGUGUGCAGGAUGGAAGUCGUCAUCGUAGGGGGAAACUGAAACCUGCCGUGGGUGGGGCCUUGUUUCCUGACAUCAGCGUGGCUGCCCACGAACGUCCCCACCAACGCAGGCGCCCUCCAGCCACCCACAGGAGCAGGGAUGGCGAGGCCGGGGGUGGGGGCGCCUCAUGUGAAACCAGAGGCCACACCUGGUGCCCAGGCUGGCUGCAGGCUCCCACUGUCACAGAGAUGCUCCCUGGGGACCAGGGUGUGGAUCUGCCGCUGGGGUCUCGUGGGUGACAUGAGACCCGAAAGCAAGGGUAAAUCAUUUCCAAAGAACUGCCCCUGCUCAUUUUCUGCCUCCCCUGAGAGUUGUUUUCUGAGUCAGAGCAUCCAGAACUCGCUGUCUGAGGGUUGGAGGAAGCCAGGGUCCAUAUGUGCCGGGGACGCCUGUCCUUCUUGAUCUGUGCUCCUGAAAUCUAUUUAUUUUUAAUUAUUAUUAUAAUUUUUUUUCUACUAGGGAUUGAACCCGGGGUGCUUUACCACUGAUCACAUCCCCAGACCUUUUUUAUUUUGAGACAGGGUCUCGCAAAAUUUCUUAGGGCCUAAGUUUCUGAGGCUGGCCUCAAACUUUUGAUCCUCCUGCCUUAGCCUCCUGAGUCGCUGGGGUAACGCCCAGUUGCUUUUGUGCCUUUUGCUGUUCUCAGCAGCUGUCGACCUGUGUGCUUGCUGGGCAGAGGGGGGUCCUCCUCCCAGAGAAGCUCCAGCCACUCCUGGGGGCCUCUGUUCCCUGGACCCCCUCGGUGGCUCUGAAAUGGACCUCUGGGCAGCCCUGUGAGUACUUGCCAACCAGUGGCUCCAGCAAGAGUGGCUCGUCACAUGAGUGGCCUGACACAGAGGCCCUGUUGCCAUCAUCAAGACAAAUGCCUCUGCAUGCAGAGAUCACCUGCGUCUUUCUUGGUGACACGCAGUGAGGCGUGAUGUGCCCUGGGCUGUGUGGGGGGCCGUGGCCUGGGCUGGAGGGGAGUGUCCAGCCUGGUGGCUUUGCACUGGCUGGAGGUGUGCCAGGGGUGGCGGUAUGCACCCACACUGGGGUCCUCUGGAGGUCUUCGUGAUCAUCUGGUCCCUGUGCUUUGGGCCCCAGGAGGAACUAUGGCUCUGCUUAUGUCCCAGACACCACUGAGCCCUAAGGGAGUGAAACAGGAGGCUGGACUUGGCAAGUUCACAGGGUGAAAGACAAAGUGAGCUCCACGUUCGCGUUUCCUGAGGGCCAGAUAUGUGCUAGGCGCUGGACCUGGCUGUUGUGCAAAUUGUUUUACUUCAUCUUCACAUAAUUCACGAGAGAGGUGACAGCAGGAGCCCUAUGUUACAGAGGAGGAAAAGGUUCAGUGACUUGUUCAAGGCCAUACAGCAGGCAGGUGGCAGGACCUAGAUUUGAAGCCAGGUAAUUGGAUCCCAUCCCCAAAUGCAAGGUCUUAAUUGCCAUGUCACUAAACCACACACUGAACACAAUCUACCGAGGGCACAGAGGACGCUGGGGUCAGCUGCCUGUGGAGUCUAAGGUGUGUUCAAAGAGCCAAUGUCUGGCUCUACCCGGGAGGGCCGGUGCCUGGUCGGAUGGACACAUAAGAUGGCCCUGCUUCUAGUGGCAGUAGAGGGAAAGUGUAAAGCCGAGCCAUCUGUCUACACCCAAAGCCGAGCUCAGGUUAAAGGGCCCUGGCCGUUUCUCGCCCCCGUGCCCAGGUUGAGCACUGCUCAUACCAAGAUGCUGGGCAGACAGUGAGAACAGGAGACUUGGAAGAGGAGUCACGAGAAACGCUGGCCGGGGCCUCUCCUGCUGGUGGCCAAGGGCGCCCCACAUGCAGGGUGAGGAGAGGGAGGCCUGGGAGACGCCCCAAGGCCCUCAGCAGCUUUGACCGGUCAGAGGCCAAGAGAAGGCUGCAUCUUCUCCCACAAGGACAGGAGGCUGGCUGGGCCCCUCCCGCUGCCAGCCUUGCCCUGGACCCUGGGCUCUGUCCCCAGCAGGUCCCGGUGACUAAGCAGGGCGAGGCAGAGGGCUCGGCAGUGGGAAGGAGGGUGUCCUGGUCAGCUUCUUUGCCACUCUGACCAAAAGACCGGACAAGAACAACGCAGAGGAGGAAAAGUGAACUUGUGGCUCAUAGUUUCAAGGUCUCAGUCCAUGGAUGGCCAGCUCCUCGGCUCUGGGCCCGAGGUGAGGCAGGACUUCAUGGUGGAGGGGCAACUCAGGAGGAGAGCAGCUCGGGACGUGGCAGAGAGAGCUCUGCUCACCAGGGGCAGAUACACACCCAAAGGCUCAGCCCAGGGACCACCUCCUCCUGCCACAGCCCACCUGCCGGCCGUCCGCCUGGUAAAUCGUGUCGGGGGUCACUUUGCUGAGUGGUCAAGGCUCUCAGAACCUGGUCACCUGUCCCCUGGACCUCCUUGCCUGGUCUCACACGGGAGAUUUUGGGGGACACCUCACAUCCAAACCACCACACAAGGCCCAGCAGACAGGGGCCAGUAGGGGAAGGACAUGGGGACACUUGAAAAACUGCGACGAAGAGGGACAGGCGGUGUCGGGCCAGAGCGAUCGAGGAGCGAGUGCUAUCCUUGGUGAAGGUGGGUCCCCUGCUCAGAGUGGAGGCCAGGCCAGCCAUCCCCGCUCCCCGCACCCUAGCAACUUGCUGGUGCUGGCUGUGGGCAGAGUGUGUCCAGCCCCAGAUUCUCAAGGUGGGGCCUGACCCCGGGCCCCAGACGGGGACUGCGUUUGGACAUCAGGUCUUGGAAAGGGAGAUUCAUAUAAAGCAAAGUCACGUGGGUGACUUUGCCACCCGUGUCCUCCUAGGAGGACAUCACGGGGCCACAGACGAGGCGAAGACCGUGAGAGGACACAGCAAGCGGGGGCCACCCACAGCCAAGGACAGAGGCCCAGGGUGAAGCCGCCUGCCCCAGCCUGACCUCAGACCUCCCUCCAGGCCUGAGAUCCCUGCCCCUGGCCUCUGCGGGCUGCCUGACCAAGGUGCGCUCCUUGUUUCUGAGGAAGGAACGGUCACAGCCCCAAGGUGCGGACCCAGCCCCAGAGGUCUCUCUCCGCCUGGGAACCCCACGACGGAGGCCUCUGGGCUUUGGAGCUCUGGGUGGUGGAGUGGCGCCUGGGACAGUCCAGACAGCUUGGCCAGGGGCUGGUGGGUAACUGAGGGGCCCUGGCGGGUGAGGGGCUCCUUCCUUGCUCUUCCUGGAGUGGCAGGGAGACCUCGUAUGGGGCAGGAAAUUGGAAUUCUCCUUGGGAGUAAGCCCACCAAGGUCCUCUCUCACUGGAGAGAGACCAGCGCCCUCCCCUGUAAAACAAGGCCCGCGGAGCCCCGCUCAGAAGUCAGAGUCCACACCCAUGGAUUUCCUCGGGGCAGCAUGAUUUUAGGGGGACCAGGUAUGUCCCUGGAUCAGAUGGAGACUUUCAUCAAGAAGCUGUGACCAGCUAGAGAUCUCCUAGGGACACAAGGAGAGGCUGAGUGUGAUCCUCCCCAGUCACUCCACCCGGGGACUUAGAUGGCCACCGGGCAGCGGUGGGCUUGCUGGGCCCCAUCUCAUCUCCACUGGCAGUGGGGGGCUGGGGGCCCCUGCUGGUCCUGGGCUGGGGGCCCCUCCUGGUCCUGGGCAGGGGGGCCCUCCUGGUCCUGGGCUGGGUGGACUCGGUUUCACAUUCUAAGCUCAGUGACGCGGGCUUUUUGGUUUGGCUCAAUUGCUGGGCAGAGGUGAGUAAGGGCCAGGUCAGCCCAGGUCAGACGCCGAAUUCCACCCGGGCCUUCCACACUCUGCACAGCAAAUCGGAGUUUUCUGGUGUCGAGGACGCAUUUUUAAAGAUUGGAGUUGGAUUCCUAUUUCCUUUUCCUCUGAGUCUUUCUGUGUGAGCGUCUGGCCGAAGUCCCCGUUGUGCUGAGCUGUUCUGAGUCUGUGAGAAACCAGGAUAGGGGACUAUGGCAGGCUCCCCCACAUGUGCCCUGCUUGGUCAGAUUCCACAGUCAGGAAGGCCGGCCUCGUCCCAGCCCUCUCUAUACCUUAUUUAGCAUUAGGGUCUGGCUGAGCUGCUCAGGGCCUCACUAAGUUGCUGAGGCUGGCUUUGAACUCACCAUCCUCCUGCCUCAGCCUCCUGGGUCGCUGGGAUGGCAGGCGUGCGCUACGCACCCGGCUUGUCUUUUAACGGACCGUUUAAUCUGGCUUUCACAUUUAUCUGGAUGCUUUAGCUUCUCUUUUAACUGCCUUUAUAACUGCGGGCACGGGUCCCGAUCUUUGGUUAGGUGGGCCGGCCGGCCCAAGGGACUCUAUGAAGGAGGAGGAGCCGGGCUGGCCAUCCUCUCCUGUGGCUGCGGGUGGCAUCUGACUGCAGAGGCAUGUCUGAUUUAAUCAGGAGUCUUUAUGCUACAAGUGUCACCCUCCUCCAAGUGGCUUAAGCAAAGUCCAGACUUUGCCAUCUCCUGUAAGUGAACAAUCUAGGAGCAGGGGACAUAGGGACAGCCCACAUGACAUGGGUAGCCUCAGCUUCCCCCUUGGCUUGUCCUGGCUCAGUGUCUAGGUGUGACCUGUUCUUCAGCAGACUCGGUUCUCAUGGUCUCAAGGUGGCUGCCAUUGUGAUCUCAUGUCCGAAUCCAGCAGAAAAGGACAUUGGUCUUUGUCUUGCUGGACAAGUGCUGAGGUUCAGUCAAGCUGGGCCAGUUGAGGUCGGGUGCCCCUCCUGGGGCCCAUCACAGGGUACAGAGGGCCAUAGUGACCUGACUGAUUUUCCUGACUUCUGUCCUCUCCUGGGGGUGGCUGUCAGGACGCCAGGGAGGUGAGCUAUAGGUGUCCACUAAGUCGUACUUAAGGACAUAAGUGACCCACUAAAUUCAAGCUAAUUGACGUGCACAGGAGCCCUCUCUUGACUGGCAAGUAGCCACCUGCUGUUCACCUGGCACACAGGGCUUUGGGAGGCUGUCUGGAAGAGGGGCCUCGGUCUCUUUCCAAUGACCACCCGUAUUCCUCCACCCAGCAGGUGGGAGGCCAGGGCAGUUCCCAUUCCAGGACCACCUGCCCUGGUGACUUGUCCCCCAGCCCCCCAGGUCCCGGUUCCCAGCGCCUCCCUCCCUCCUGGUGUAUGGGGCCGUCCUCUGCGUCUGAGGAGGACUCUCGCACUCCAGGCCUCCACCCUGCCCUCCCGUGAAGCCCACUUUGGAGGCUUGUCUUUCUGGAUUAUUCUACUGGAGCCGACGAGCCGCUUCAGAAACGCCUUCCAGGUGCUGCUGUGCUGUCAACUCUGUGGCCAAGAAGCUGAGCAGGAGAGGGUAGCUGUGGUGCAGCGGUCAGCACAGCACAGGGCUUCCCUCGUCACGAGGGUCCCCUUCCUAGGCUUGGGUACUGACAGGUGGGUGGAGACCACUGGGAGAAAACAAGCCACUCCACGUUUCUUGGUCUCCCAAGUUCAAGGCACACCGAGCGAGUUCUCCGUGACCACAACAGAUGAAGGAUGCAGUGUCACUUGGUGACCUUCAGUGUUGGGAUGGUUCAGGUCACUUUUAGUCCCUUAGUACUUUCAGUUAUUAAAAAAAGGUGCAUUUGCCAUCUGGUCUCUAGUAAAUCCGUAUUUCGGUUUUGAUGUAUGCCUUGGCUCUCUGCAGCGCAAUCUUGCUCUUGUGGACACCGGGUGGCCUCUCGUUUCUUCCUCCCUUGUCUGGUGAACAGGGAGCUGGGCUCAGGCGCAGCUAGGCAAGCCACGUGCACUGACAUCAUUGGACACACGGAGAGGCCAUGGUAAACUCCUGAUUCCUGGGGCCUCGGGAAAGGUCUUGGCAGUCUCCCGAGUUGAUAACCUCCGAUUUCUAUUGUCUUUCUUGAAUUGUGAAAACAUGAUGUUCAUAAAUAAAGGGGACCUGGUGGUGUUUAGAACAGGGGACAUAAAAGAGAAAGGGCCCCAUGUAACGUGAAAAUGUCCCAGGACUUUGAUCACACAUUCCAGGCUGCUUUCAGGACCGUCUGUGGCCUCCCAGACCAGGGAUCCCAUGGCCAUCAACUCCUGUUGGAUGUCAUCAGGAAGGAGCCCAGAGGACAAGGUGGCAGGCCGUUAAGGAAGAAGGGCAGAAGUCCCCGCAGUCCUCUGCGGCUUCUUGUCUCACCUGGAAGGACCCAGCAAGGGGCUCUGCUCCUGGGAGAGAAAAAGCAGGCCUCUCGGGUCCUUUGUCCCCCUCAGAGCCCAGGAAGCUCAAUGGACACCUUGGCCUGGCCAGCACUCCUCAUCCUCCUCUGGCCCAGCCACACCCAUCAGCAGCCCUCCCGGGGCCAUUUCCCUUUGGCUGUGUUCAGGGGGAUUUCUCGUAAAUUGUUCUUUCUUGCUGAUGGAAUGUGGCCUUCUGCAGCGUAGAAAUGGAAACGGUCCGACAGUUGGGGGGAGAACAAGCCCCUUUCUUUUUUUUUCCAAAAAUUUAGAAUUAAUAUGUGAUUUUCAUAAGUUGGUGAAUUCCUCCCGUUUCUCUCCUCCUCACCUCUAUCUUCAGAGGUGUUCAGAGGCCAGGUGAAGGGUGUUGUCAAGGGCAGUGUGUGCGUGGACAUUCAUUUGGCAUCCACCCCCCCAUUUAGGCAGACUUUUGUUCUGCUCUCAGAUAAAACACUAAUAAACAGGAAGUUGAAAAAAAACGUGGGGCAAUUGUUCCAACCUUGUUUUUCUUACAAGGCUCCCUGGGCCUCGCCGCCCCGGCCUGUGCGCGGCAGCCCCUGUAGGUGGCGCUGUGAAUAAAGAAACCAAGUCCCCGGCCGCCCGGGUGCUGCGCAGGCCACGGCCUCCACCGAACUGUAGGAGGUGGCUCCGGCUUUGCAGCCCUGUCCUCUUUAUUUGUCCCGAACUAAGUUGUAGAAUUUCAAGGAGGUGAAAAACCAAAGCCAUCCUAUAGAAAAUAUCUUUUGCUCCUUUACUCCUCAUGUUGAGUACCUAAGAAUAUUGUGUUUCCCCUGAAAGUGUGUGUGUGUGUGUGUGUGUGUGUGUGUGUUUAAGAGAGAGAAUCAGGAACAACUUAACAGGAAUAUGUGACCUUUUGUUUAUCUUUAGAGCCCUUAAUUAGCCACUUAAUUUGUCAUUUGAACAAAUUAAGAAAAAUCUGGGGUAUUAUUUUUUUUUAAGUGACUUUUUAUAACCAUAGUGAUACUGAUUCGGUUUCAUGAUCUACUACAAGCUUAUGGGCAAGGACAGAAACUCUUGCAAAGAGCCCUGUGCCCCUGUCCGUAGCAACCCAGCACACCUGGCCUGGCCAGCCAGUGAGAUCUGCAGGGUUAGAGACUGGCCUCCAGGAACUGCCUCUAGAGGCCAAGAAUGGGCCCUGGGAGAGCUGAGCUCCCGAGUCCCCGGGAAGGUCACACUGGCUCCCCGCUCUGCAGAACCAGGCCUGAAUCUCAGACCCUAGCCUUUUGCCUGUCCUUGGGCUUCCUGUAGUGGCUGCCGGGCAGGCUGCUGGGAGGGAUCUCAGAGCACCCUGGAGCUGCUGGGAGGUUCUGUCACCAGGGGUCCAGGCUCCCUCUGGGAGGUGCUGGCGAAGGGGACGCUUGGCUCCCCAGGGGCACAGGGAAGGCUAACCCCCUCCUCCCAUCACCGCUGCCAGGCCUCUAGCUCCAGGAUCUCUGCUCCUUAGACAGGGCCUACCUUGGGCACCUGGACAGGCUGAGCCGGUGUCCAGGGCUGGCCUGCUGUCCCUUUACUUUCUGAGAGUGCUAAGGAAAGCCCAUUGUUAAAACUGGAAAAGGCCAGAGAUGGGGGGGGGGACAGGUGAGGGGGUGAAAGGAAGAUUCCAGAGACGGUGCAUGGACCGUGGUCCCCAGAUCGGCAGGCAGAGCUCACCCAGGAGGCUCAGCUCUGUUAAUGUCAAAAAGCAGAGAGAGAGGAGACACUCCCCUGUGACCCUGCUCCUGGAGGAGGGCAGACCCAGCCAUCCUCGGUGGCCCCUGCUUACACAGCCCAGGAAUCUUUUCUGGGGGAAGAAUGGGACCAUGUGUGAGUGUGGGGACAUUUGCCCUGUCUCUGGGGAAGGUUCCAGAACAGUGAGGGCUUCCAGGGGCUUUAGGUUUAAGGGGCCUUUUGUGGCACGGCUGGGAAGAAGCCAGAGUCCCCGGGUAUUGUCAGCUCCUGAGGGAUCUGGCACCGUGGCCCUCGUUCUUCAAGUCACCAGAGUGUCUCCUGAGCGCAGGGCACAUCCUGGGGUCAGCUGUGCAGAUGGGCAGCACUCUCAGGACUAUUUUUGACAUUUCACUUUCUGUUCAGGGUCAGGAGCUUUACCCACCUAAGUCAGUCCCCAGCACUAAGCAGACUGUCCCAGCAACCCAAGUGUCUCUGUGCUUCCUAGACCAGCUCCCUGCCGUGUCUGUGCACCCCAGAUAUUUAGAUGGAACCCCAAAGUCAAGUCAGGCUUCAAUAUUCUGCAAGGACCCUGGGCCACUUCUUGAAUUCGAGCCAAGUUUUUGCGUAUCAUUGAAGACUCUUAGACGGCCGGGCCCCGUGGUUAUACAGCAGAUAGGUUACUUUUCUCUUUAAAGCUGAGCCUUUUCACUGAUCUCAGUCUUACUCAUUAGCAAAGGCUACGCUCACCCACAGAUGCCCGGGGACCUAGAACACCCACUCUGGUUUCCCCAUAGACCUUUCAGACCACUGUCCUUCCCCGCUGUGGCUUUAGGGAACUCAGAUGUGAGCUGGACCAGCAGGAAGCCGUGAGUGGUGGUUCUGGAACAUGCCCACCCCACCCAGCUAGGACACUUGGUGCCUGGAAGGGGUGUGAGAUAAAACCCGCACCCCAGAGUCCUGUGAAAGUCACCCCCCUGGCCCUGCCAUUGGGACCCAAGAGUUUGGAUGUUAUUACUAAAGAUGUGACUGAGCAGGAAGGCGCCGGGCCCUGGGCAUCCUCACCGUCCCAAGGUACGGGGGUUCUGGCGCGAGGUAUGGGAGUUCUGGUGUGGGCUGCAGGCUUGCCCAUCGCCGUCUCACCUUUGCCUCAAAAGCACAGGAGUGGGUUUGCUUUGGUACAACAUAGAGGGACAGUAAUUUUAGUGUUUCCUGUUGGCUUGUCAGCUCAGAGUCAUUCUCUUCAGUAAACUGUAGAAAAUAUGGUCCCCUUCCAAAUUCUGCAUCCAAGUAAUAAAGAGAACCUACAACUAAUCAGGCCAAGUCAAGACUUUGCUUUUCUCUGCGAUGUUUCCUCUCUGUUUCUUAAGAAGCCUCUUAAUGAAUCUUGGUGGUUAUCAUGUUUUACAUUUUUAUAUGUCUCUGUAUAUUGUUUAUUUAAUUAGGCACAUAUAAGCAAAUCAUCUGAGGCUUUUUCAAGCAGAAGUAGUUAUUAGCUGAUUAACCUCAGUUUCUGUUUGAUGUCAAGUGGGUAAUAACCCCCAAAGAGAGGGUUCAGGAAUGAAAGUGAGUGGACAUCACCCAGCUCUGAAGGAAAAUGAAGCAUUUGCCUUUCUUGUGUUUUCUCUGAGAAGGUUGAGUUUCUGUGGAUGGAUCUUUCUCAGAUCUUAGAUAAACAGGACUUAGAAGUACAUUUCAAGUUAGAAAUGUUGCUUCCCCACUUCCACGUUUGUCUCUGUAUGACAUAGCAAGCCAUGCUCUUAAACUAACAAUUCAUUUUCUGAACCAGUGAUUUUUCUUUUUUGACCUCUAUAUUCAUCCAUAUUGUUUGAUAUCAACAGCUCACACGGGCUGGCUCUUACAUUGGCCUUACAGAGAAGCUCACUUAGGAGAUCUGCGCGCCCCAUUGGCCUGCCCGUGACGUGGACUUUUCUGUGAUGUCACACCUCAUCUUAUAGCAUCCAAGUUGACAAGAUCAGCAAGAUCCUUAUUGUACAAACCAAAUGACAGAUGCUAUCCUUAUCAACGGUGUUUGAUGUCUACAGAGGGGUUUUAAGACUAGAGCUUGGCCCUCUGUCAACAAGGAAAGCUUCUUCCCCCCAGUUUUGUGGGUUCCAUUAGGGGUCUUAAAUCCCUGGGAGGACUUCGGUGGCCCUCUCUUUGGGAGGAUUUGUCCCUGUGUUGUCUGCUGGCAGUCCCUGGGCUGAUGCGGGCUUCCCCGGGCACUUCCUAUUGUCCCCGCAGUUCUGUGGCGGUGAGACGGGGGUGGCGUGCGGACAGCCACAGGGACAAGGAGCUAGCAGCUUAGCUUGUUUUACUUCUGAAAUGACUUUCAAAAUAUCAGUUUUAAAAGUGUGUCAUUUACCAAACCAAAAUAGCUUUUGCGUCUCGGCAAUUCUCACCGGGUGACAGCCUUCACGUUUGCUUUAUGUGAAUGAGAUGUUCGGGGCCCCACUUCCAUUUUUCAUAUCUGAAAGCUUCACUGGUGCCAAUGACUUUGGAGAGAGCAAAUAAACUAUGCCCCUGCCGGGUGCCUAUGACGUUGGAGGUAUUUAUGAAGGUUAAAAAAAAAAUUAUAUUUCAUUAGGGAGGCCCUAAGCUACUCAGUGAGACUCAGUCGCAAAAGAAAAAAAAAAUUUAAAAACAAAAAUGAAAAACAAGCUGGGAGUGUGGCUCAGUGGUUAAACACCACCGGCUUCAAUACCUGGUACCAAAACCAAUUUUCAUGACAGUGCUUAGAUGAGGUGCCUGAAGUACUCGAAUCCAUAGCAGAAGAAAUUAAGCUGGAGGUAGCAGGGGUGGGGGAGACGGGGAGCUGGUGUCUGAUGGGCACAGAACUUCUGGGGGGGGGUGAUGAUAGCACUAUGAGGUAUACCUCAUGCCCCUAAACUGCACUCUGAAAAGUGGUUAACAUGUUAAACUUUUUAUGCAUAUUUUAGCAUAGAAAAUGCAUGGGAAUUGGGCAUUCAAACCACGGUGUUUCAUGAAGUUAGAGAAGCUAGAUGGGAUAGCAAGAAAUUAUAGCGGAGCAAAAAAAUCUCAAGAGCACCUUUCACAACAUUUGCAGGUGGGGAAACUGGGGCCAAAGAGAGCCCCUGUUUCCUGAAUGACAGGAGCCGCGAGGGCAGGAGCUCAGCCUAGAAUUCUGUGCUUGCCCUGUGCUGCACCCCGCCCUGCAAAGUGGCCAUUAUUCUCUGAGUAAACGUGCCACUGAUUAGAUUAGAUUAGCUUCGUGAUAGAGACGCAGCAGGGACCUCUGAAUCCUUUAAUCUGGACGGUUCCUGAGUUACUGGUGUGUCUCCAGGGAAGACUCCCCCAUGGGAGCUGGUGACACAGGGCCCCAUGGCCCUCAGAUGUGUGAGUGGGGGAGCCCUGCCUUCCACAGGGAAUUCAGUGUGCAGCCCACUGGCUCUUCGGGUAGACAGCAAGCCUUUCCAGGGCGGGGAGACAACAUCGCUGUAUGGGAGCUUUGAACUGGGCAGGGCCUAACCCACGCUUUCACAAUGUACAUUCAAAACCCCUUUUUAUCUAGCAUCAUCUUAAGAGCAUCAUUUUGCUAUGCGAAAAUGAUCCAUAUGGUUUUCAUAAGUGGCUUCUCUCAGCUCUGGAGCUAAAACCUCCUGCAACCACUUUUGAUAAGCACUCCGUGACCUUGGAGCACCACUUCCUAUGCCUUUUCUAAGGUGUGCCUUUAUUUUUUACUGUACUAUGCAUCAAGCAAGGUUAUGAGCCACAUUUGACCUUUUUUGGAAACCCCACCUCGGUGGAAGGAACACUGAUUCUGUUUAAUUCCCCUUAGCUGUUGUCCCCAUGCACCGACUUCCUGGCAGCAGACACCACGUACCCGUGUGAGGUUUUGUCGUAACACAUUUGUGCCUGGUAGCAGCAUUGAUGGCUUUGCAAGAAGGUGGAGUGAAAUGAAGAAAUCGCCUGCGUGGGGGACCACAAGGGACCUGCUAUGUGAAGACGGGCUGCUCUGUGAACAAGAGGCACGGCAUACUUUUCCUUUCCAAAUGAGGCAGUGUCAGAACUCAAGGGCCCGCUCACCUUUCACUUUCUACAGAGUAACUUGCUGGGAAAACCAGAGGCUCCGUCCUGCCCAUAGCCCCGUGGUGCCCGGCAGAAAAAUGCACAGGAGCGACAGUGCCCUUGGAUCAGAGAUAACUGGAGAUGGCACAGCAGGGCUCUGUGCCCCUUUCAGAUCACCAUCCUCUGGGCCGUUAACUGCGGUUGGUUUUGUUACUCGGCUGGCUGGAAAUUUCAGGCUGAAGUGUGUUUCCCCUAAUCUGAGACAUAUUUUCCUGAUUCUAAGCUUCUUCUGAAAUGGACCACACACGUUGAGUGGGGAAUGCUGAACUAGAAGUCACCGGGAGCAGUUUGGUGGCUAGAAGGCUCCCAAGAAUCAAAUAAGUAAAGCAACUUAGGCAGGAGAAAGAUCCUAACUCCUUGGGUGGGGAGGUUGCUGAUACCCGGGGCAUUUGGCAUGAAGGAGGGCAGCCAGACAGACCCGCCAUACCCGGGAGGAGGCUGUGGAAUGUGGGGUUAAAAAUAAACCUCCUACUGGGCACCGUGGUACACGCCUGUCAUCCCAGCAGCUCAGGAGGCUGAGGCAGGAGGAUCGCAAGCACAAAACCAGCCUCAGCAACUUAGUGAAGUCCUGAGCGACUUGGCAAGACCCUGUCUCUUAAGUAAAAAGGGCUGGGGAUGUGGCUCAGUGGUGAGGCAUCCCUGGGUUCAUCCUGGCUACAGAAAAGAAAAAGAAAUAAACUUAUGAAUGGGAGUGUCCUUCAGAGAGUGAAAUGGGCUUAUCAGAAAGAUAAAAAAAAAAUCCUGAAUGCCAGUUCCACGGAUGUUGGAAAGGAGGUCCCAUGGAAAGCUCAGGAACAGGGAGAAUGUCUGUCAGAGAUGGAGCACUUGGCCAGGCCGAGGCUGCUGGCCCGAGGGGCAGGGGUGGGUUUUUAAAGUAUUUUCCAUGCACCAACUCAUCAGGGAGACUGAGUCCCCAGCACUGGCAGACCUACGCUGGAUCAAGAGCUGUUGGACACUCAGGUGGUCCUUUACCAUUUCUGUGCCCGAAUUUGGGCAUUGGGUCACCUUAGGACCAUGGAUUCCCAAAGGUGACAGUCUGUGUUCCCACAAAAACCUCUUUAUUACUGUGAGAUAUUGUUUAUGGAAUCACAGCUAAGAAUUCAUACAGAAAAUUAUCUUUAAAAACCAUCUUUUGACUUUCCAAAUUACAAAAUUGUCACUCAUCUUGAUACACUUUCCAUUACAACUGUAUUUGUUAAAAGGGCCCCACAAGAUGCCCCCUGCCACCUCCCCCCUUUGGACUGGUCCUUCCCCUGCGGGCAGAGAUGGUUUUCUUAGCAGAGGACUCCAGUGUUUCUCCUGGUCUGGGGUUGAUCUUCCUGGCUCUGUAGAGUGAUCUGCCUUAGAACCCUCCCCCAGGGGCAGGUACACUGAAUCUUCCGCUCCCAGACCCGGGGCUGUUGGUACCAGUGCUGUGACGCUGUGGGGAAAUGUGCCUGUCAGGUGGUCCUCACUGGUGUGUGUGUGUGUGGGUGUGGGUGGGUGUGUGUGUGCAUCACGUGUAACAAAGUAAAGACGAUUCCCAACCAGAAAGGAUGGUUCUCUGUAGAAGACUCAGUCUGGGGGUCUUGUGAUUUCUGCAGAUGCUUUUUAAACACUCCACAGAAUAAAUAUUUGAAUGAAAAAGGAGGCCGUGACUUCUUCCCGGCUCUGUCUGAAUGGAGCGCCUGCCUGUGCUGGGUCCUCCUACUCUCCUCCCCACCACUCUCCCCCUCUUCUCUUCCUCUUUCCCCUCCUUUUCACUCUGGCUCCCCACCUGUCCUUUAUUCUGCAAUUUAUUUUUAGUUUUUACAAUGUACUUGAAUUGCUUUAAAAUUUGUUUCAAAAAAGGAUUUUGCUGUUUGUUCUUUAAAAAAUAAAAAGACAUAAGGUGGCGCACGCCUGUCAUCCCCGGGCCCUGGGAGGCUGAGGCAGGAGGAUCAAAGCCAGCCUCAGCAACUUAGUGAGGCUCUAAGCAACUUAAAAUACAAAAAUAAAAUCUUAAAAUAAAAUAUAAAGAGGUCUGGGGAUGUGGCUCAGUGGUUAAGCACUUCUGGGUUCAAUCCCCAGUACCCCCCCCCCAAAAAAAAAAAACCCAAAGACCUGAAGUUUAACAAUUAACCCACCCUGAAUAAAUCAGUCUAUAUGAAGAAAAUCAGAAUGAGAUAAGAAGCAAACAGUAGAAGUACAGCGUUGGUUUUGCAGCUGUGGAGAGACUCCGGGGAUUCUGUCCCCUCCUAGGGCGAUGAGCUCCCUGAUGGCCUCUGAGUGGGGGUGGGCCAGAUCUCUGACUUGGCAAAAAAACUGCAAAGCCCUGGGUGGUCCCCCUGACCCUCCUGGUGACCCUGGCUGCCCCUGCUCCACAGGCCAAGCAGGAGAACAGGGAGGGGACAGUCUGCCAGGUCCCCUGGGGGAACACUUAUCAGCCUCCACUAAUGAGCUCGGCCUGUCCCCAAACAUGCCCUGCCCUGCCCUCAGCCUGGCCUGAGGAGGUCUGCAGCUCUGCUCUUAGAGUCACAGGCACACACACGGCUGCGCUGGGGCCCUGUCAACCUCUGGGUCGGGAGGCUGUGUGCAGUCCCUCCCCGUGUCUCCAGGCCACGGUGGGUUUGGAGGACAGGGGGACAGUGACAGGGUGGUGGAAGGGAAAGGUGGUGCUGUGUGGUUCUGGGAGAUGGAGCAGGCAUGGAGAGGGGGUCCACGGGACACUGCUGGCCGUGUUCUGUCAGAGCUAGAGGGACCCGGCAGCUUGAGGGUGGCUUUGCCCAGGAAAGAGAAGGCAAGGUCUGCCCCUGCACUCCUUCCUUCUCUGAUGCCUGAGCGCAGCUCCCAGCGCCCAGACUGGGCUGGCCUAUCAAUGCUGAGAUACUGUGGAGGGGAUGAUGCACCCGGACCCUGACCACGGGGUGUGUGUUCCUAAAUACGUAUCACUUAAGUCCUGAGAAUCACCUUGCCAAUCAUUUCCACAUCUGUGUGGCGAUUGGUGCUACUGGGUGUGUUUUAAAGUCCUCUGGGCGUGUGGGGUGGGCGCACUGGUGCACACCUCUGCAGUGACUACGGCAUGUGGCAGUGGGCAGAAGCCAGGUUCAGCCACAGUGGGUGGCCAGCAUGAGGAGCCAGCUCCUUGUCCUUGAACCCAAUUCCCCACCCACCUCCCCUUGGGCCCUCAGGCCUCUGUUUUACCAGGCAAGACCCUUCUAGAAUAGCCCAGGCUGCGUCCUAGGCCGGUUCCACGGUUCCUUCCCAUGCACCUGGUGCCAUCUUGGUGAGGAUGCCUUGCAUUUCUCUUGGUCUCUGCCCGUGAGGCUUCUCAGCAGAGGGCUGGAUUAGGUGCGCCAGACUUGCUGUGACUGUGAAGGUGAAGAGGUCACACACUCAAGCCUCCAAAGAUAAAUGUUAUUUAAUUGGAUGGACAAUCUUUGCAACGCUUUGCUUCUCUGCUUUCUUCCAAGGCACCGCUCUUGGGCUGAAGAAGCCAUUUUUGAAAAGAUUUCCACUCGAGUCAGUGUUGGCAUGAAAGGCUUCCCUGCGGGGCACGUGGCUGCUCGGAAUGGCAAUGGUGUGGGUGGAGGAGAGAGGGUUGGCAUACGGUAGUGCACAGGUGGGUCUGAGAAGGCCCAGCCCUGGCAAAACCAUGGUCUCACUGAGGAGCUUCUCUGGGCCCAGAGGUUUCCUACCCUUAGCAGAGGCUGAGUCCCGGAUCCUGAAGGCAGCCUCCUCCUUGCCUGAGGAGGCCUCAGGGUGGGAGACAGGAACACAGAGAGAGUCUUGAAAAGUGAGAGUCGUAGAAUAUUAGCUGAGGAGGUUCAGGGUGCACCAGACAGAGAGCAGGAGGCCCAGGGUGUUCCAGGCAGGGAGCUUGGUGCUGGAGAGUCAGGGUGGGCUGAGCAUCUGUCAGGGGAGGUCACCAAGGCCCAAGGGAGGACUCUGUGGGCUGGUUGGGGUGGUGGCCAUGACUCGAAUAGUAGUGGAGCAAGAGCCAGGGCUGGGCCCGCAGGUGUCUGGGUCCUUCCCUGAGCUGUGGCCACCAACCUGGCCACCCUGUUAUUGGCUCCUUCUCUUGAAGGAGGAGGAGGGGCAUAUUUGCAUCUGAGGGUUGUCACAUGGUGGGUCCAGGAUGGCACCUUGGUUUGUGGGGUCAUUGUUCACCUCCUUGGUCCUGUGGUGGCCGUGCUGGUUGGUGUGGAAUCCCAUGUUCGAGGUCAGUUCCUGCUCCCAGCCACUGGUGAGCCCGUUCAGCGGGUCCUCAGCAAAGCCGGCCCUGAGUGGAGCUCGUGCUGAGCAGGGUGCCAGCCCCAGCCCUGGCCUCCCCAGCCCUGGCCUCCCCAUCCUGACGGCCCUGACCCCCCAGUGGAAACUGACGCUGAGGCCCGGUGCUGCCCGUGCUGAGGCCCACACUCCCAGCAAGAGGGCGAGGACGUGCCUUUCAUGCCACAGAUUGGAACUGGACUUCUGCUUAGUGUGGGUGGCAGGGGCCUGCCACCUCUGCCAGCUUCCUUGUCACUGUCACCAGCCCUGGCCAGAUGCCACACACCCCCAUGAAAGGCACAGGCAGGGUUUGGGAUGCCACAUUCCCCAAGAUCUAGGUGACUCAAGUUUGAGGAGGUCUCUGCCCUGGGCUUCCAGAAGCUGGACUCCAAUCUGGAGCCCCUGGGGGGACACAGAUGGAGAAGAGCCAGCGUGUCCUGGGUGCUUGUGGGACACGGCACCUGCUCAGAGCUGGGAGACCCGUUCCUUUGGUUUGUGUUUUUAAACGCUUUGACGAUGUGGUUUUCUUUCCUUUUUUCCCUCUGAGGGAAAAAAACAGUAAAUAAAGGCUGACAACCGAGUAAAGCCCACGACCCAGCAAUUCUAGGAGCCGCGGUUCCUCGGGACACCCGGCUGGUGACCAAGGGCAGAAAUUCAGUGUGGAAACUGAAGACCGUGUGUAUUUCGUGGCGGGGCACACGUGGCUGUCCUGAUGAGGGUCCCUCCAGGAUGAUUUCUGCUUUUGUCACCAAACUGAGACGUCUGCGCUCUUUCACUGAGGAGUGGCGCCCGCUGCCCUGGUUCUCCUCGGGAGGCCAGUAGGGUUCGUCCCCUAGCAACGAGUCGCAGAGCAAAGAAAGCUUAGCUGGCUAAACACAGUGGGGACGGUGCCAACCACAAAGCAGCCGAGGAGGGACCCCGGGCGGAGUGCGGGGGCUGCUGAGGAGGCAGUGGGGAGCAGGCCCCUCGGGCUGGUUGGAAGGGAGGACUUGGUGUGUGUCACAGGCCAGCCUUGCCACUUGGGGGGUCCUUCUGUCAGAACUGUUGAGGUGCUGUGUUGUCAUUCUGUCCUUCUCAGAGCUGAUCCCAAAAGCAAACUGGCUGAUCAGCUGUUCCCUGGGGCUUCUCUGCCCUGGCGCAGAACUUCCGUCUGGCAGAAUGGGGCUUCUGAGUCUGGAGAAGCUGGCUACAGACCCCUGCUGCCCGGGGGGCCAGCCUCCUGCCCGUCAUACACUGGCCUCAGUGAUUUCUCCAAUGAGCCCCGGCGCCCAGGCCCGAGGGAGAGAGAGCUCUUGAUAAAGGAAGGCUGGUGCCUGUGAGAUGAGAAAUAAAUCAAGGUCGCUAUUUCCUGCUGGAGGACAGGUGCAGAACAGGUACCAGGUCCCCGUCAUUAUUGUCCCUAAAAGGUCCCCUGUCUUGCUUUCUUUUCUCACUACUCUGCAGGGCCUGAUGGGGACUUCCUCUGGGUGCGUUCUCCUGGGCUUCAGCUGCAACCCACACGGACAGACUUUAAGCCACAGUUUACGACUUUAUUGAGAUGGAAUUGGCACACCACUUGCUUCACCCUUUUUGUUACACAUUUAUUUUUUAACUGAUAAAUACAAACAUAAAAGGUGUCCUUUUUUUUUUGGUGUGUGGAGUGCCACGUGGUGUUUUGGUGCCUGUCUACCCUGUGUAAUGUUUGAAUCAGAUUAAUACCUCUCUCUCCUUAAAUAGUCACCCUUUCUUUCUUCGUGGUGAAAACAUUCAAAUUCCUUUCUUCUAGCUUUCUGAACUACGUGGUGAUUUGCUACAGUCACCCUACUGUGUAAUAAGACCACAAUUUUUCUUUUCUUAAACAAGAUGAUCAAUAGUGAAAGAGGUGAGCUUGGGGGAAAGACCUUUUUAAAACAAACUACGAACAAUGAUGAACGGGGGUAGAGCUUCGGCAGUGUCUUCUCCCUGUGAUCCUUUAAGAACGCUGUUGCUGGCAGCCCUGCGACUCCCAGGUCCCUGACCUCCGGGUUGUAAGUGCAGGCAGAGGGGUCCUAAGGCGCAGAGUUCCUAUCCUCGUGUGCAGCUCUGUCCAGUGACACCAGCCUUCCCUUUCUAUUUGCAAGACCUGUGCCACCCAGGGUGACGUGCUGAGGUUUGGGGGCACCACUGGGAGACUUCACUGGGGUCAGUUCUGGGACGUGUGUUUCCCAGCCGUAGGCAAGACGGGAAGGAAAGAGCACGAUUUCUGUGACAGCGCAAGGGUGGUGACUCACAUCUCCAUCUUUUGACAAAACAAAGGGGUCAUUCUUGGCUGCUAAAGGAUGGACAGAGACCUGAAGACAGAUAUUCAUCCAGGGACUUUCCCGCUCCUUUGAUGGGACGUCUGUAAAGAGGGAGGUGAAGUCUUUGGUGUCUCUCUGGGUUUUCCUCAUCGUCAUCAAUUUUUUCAGUGUCCACUGAAGGAAAGCCCGCCAUGUCAGGACGAGGUCCACAAGGCAGCCUGCAGGGCAGGAGUGGGCUGGGGGGGGGUCCUCCUCCACCCCAGGAAACACCUCGCUGUCCCUGAGACUGUCCCCAUGGCCUGCGUCCCGUCGUCAUCCCUGGGAUGGCGUGUGGAAGUGGGCCUCUGCUCUACAUGUCGUCCCCGGGUCUACUUUCUUUGGAGUAGAUGUCAGGUUGGGAAGCGAGAGGGUCUGGGAGGUGGGCAGGAGGUAAACAGAGUGGAAUCUUCAGACUUCUAGGCUGGAAGUCAGCAAAACAAGACGUGAUGGUAGGAGGGUGACAUCUCAACCAAGUAGAGACUGCAGAUCAAUCUGACAACCUCUGACAUCUCUAAAUGUCAAACCCGCGGCACAUCAGAGAUGACAUCGUGCCCGGUUGGACUCCCUGUCAAACAGGCUUCAUGUAAAUACAUUUUCGUGAAACCACAAGUUGCUCCUCUCAGUUUUGUUUUCAGCUGUCUUUGAUAAAGAGAUUGAUUGGCAUCUCCGGCGAUUCAGCAGGCUUCAGGCCAACAUGGACAGGGCCCAGGUGACUGUCCCAGGCACACUCUUCUCUGCAUGGUCUGGGUGUAUCCACGGGCCUUUGACCUGUGCUAAUGGUCCCUUCCAGAAAAUCACUGAGCUGUGCUCUGAGCUCACGGCCCAAAUCAUCCUGUUCUCAGUGGGACAGACCCAGCCCUCUGCAGCAGGGGAACUGCGGGUGGAGUCCAGCUAUAGCACCGUGUGCCUUCCUGAGCUCACUCAGGUCAAUUAGUGUUAAAUAAACUGCAAACUUCUUAGGCUUGCUGUGUCUUUAAUUUUAUCACCAGAAAUCCAUUUUAUUUUUUCCUCUGUAAAAAAAGAGAAAAUGAAAUGUGAAAAACUCACAUGCCCAAGGCAGGAAUUCUGAGUUUCUGGGCUUCUCUGUUUGAUUUAAAAAAAAAAAAAAUUUUUUUUUUCCUCUCAGUUGAAGUUAUUUCUGGAUUCUAGAAAAUUAUUCCUGACUUAAAAAAAAAAAUACUUGGUAUUGUGAUUUCAUGGUGGAGCCAGCCCUAAGCCCUAAAGUCAGAUUUGCUUUAACAAAAUUGUUGCCUUCUUUUCAAACAUGAUAGAUUGGCUUCAAAUAAAAAAAAAAAUUAAAUGGUGGGGAAGCUACAUUUUACUUACACUUUCUGCCUCUAAAUAGAACAGAGGUUUUAAAAAUCUUGGUGAUAACAAAUGCAUUUUGUGGAGAAGAGAAAGAAUAAAUCAGCUAGUUUUCAUGUGAAGUAAUUGUGCUGAAAUGAUUGAUUUUUAAUAUAGGAGGUUUUACAUUUUGACUCAUACACUUGUUAAAAAAAAAGUAGGAUUUUUUAAAAAGCUUUUGUUUAUUGAGUGAAAACUUUAGUGCUGCGCUACCCUGCUCUUAAGAAAUUCCCGGGUGUCAGAGACCAUCGAGGGUGAACUUGAACUUGUUUGGUGAGCACGGCCUUUGUGUUGUGGUGAAGUAAAGUUCAGAUGACAACGGUUCUGAAGAAAGCGAUUGAAGACUGUGUCCUGUUUCACUCUUUCCAGAUGACUAAAGUCACCCUCAUCUCCCAAGCCUCGCUUCGGGGGACGGGGAUCUGUGUGGUUUUAUAAGAGUGACAUCUGUUAGCUCAGGACAGGCUUUUUCUGAAUGUGAAGUUCAGUUUUGCUGGACCAGCCUGAGAAUGGCAUUGGAGGGUAAAAUCCCCUUACAGAAAAUGUCAGACAGGAGCAGAGGAAGGGGACCCCCGCGUCCUCUUCUGGGUGUCAUCUUUGGUUGACCCUGUUCUCUCAGGGUUCCCUCUGUUUUUAAAUGCUGCUGUCUUGCCUGAGCCAGGCUGCUCGCUUCAAACCAUCAGAACAGCCUCGUGAUGUCGAGAGCUACAGAAAGGAGAAAGAUAAAGUGUCAAUUCUGAAUCCCGUGUGGGUGAAGCAGCCUCACGCUCUGCCUCUGGCUGCCCAGAUGCUCCCUCGAUGGGAAUUCACCAGAAACACCACCGACCUUUCUCUGAGGCUCUUUGAAGCUGACCACGAAUGUCUCUCCCUUUCUUAAUGAUCUGAAAUUCCUCAGGCUCAGUUUUCUGUCAAUUCAUAGGUAUUUUUCCAGUGAUCUUCCUAAACUUUGUUAUUUGGUUUUUUUUUUUUUUGGUCCUUUUGGCCAUUUAUUUGCUGGUGACACAAGUUUAGGAAGAAAUCUACUUUCAGAAGAAACGAUCAUUUCUUGUUCUCUGUGGGUGUUUCCUUUCUUUACUACUUAAAAAGUGCUCCAUUAGGACUAGAUCAGGAGGGUCCACACGGGCAGAGGACCUCGGGAGCAAGAGGCAACUAAGUUUUGAAUGGUUUGAAGUCAGACAGCUACUGUGCUGACUUGACUGGUGUUUUUUCAAAGUGUUCCUCAAUUUAAUUAGCCUAGCACCGAGCAGGAGUGUUUUUAAAAUAGAUGUGGAAGACGGUUCAGCUUUUCUAAAUGGAAACAGCCGGGGCAAAUGCUCCAACGUCUGCUGCCUGAAAAAAAUCUAGAAGGGUCCACAGGCUGCUGUGAACAGUCCUAUCUCUUUAUGGAGAGUUGUUUGGGCUUUUUAGAAACUCAUUAAUUUGAUUGUAAGUGCCUCGGUGUUAUCAGGAAAAGAAGCUUUAGAAAAUGGUUUCAGAAUGUGUCAUUUUCUCCUUGGUUUAAUCUGAGACGGUGUGUGGGCAUGCUGGUAUUUUAAAAGGCUAAAAAUGUUGUACUUCUUGCUGUACCUUCCAGUGGGAGGGAGGGCUACAGCCGGGGGUUUUCUUCAGCCUCUGCCUGAAAUUCUGCUUUGCCUCUGAGGAGUUGUUCUUGAAGUUUUAGGAGAGAAUCUCUCAUUUUUUUUUUCCAUUUUUAAUUUGUUAUUGUAGUCAAGCAAGACAGAUUUUCAAAAAACCACACCAGCUCUCCAUCAUUUUUGAUCUUCCUAUUUUAACGCUUUAUAAAAUAAAACGCCGAAUUUUCAUCUUAACUAAGUUUCAUUAUUAUAUUUUUUUUUAAAGAAAUGAUUUGCGGUGUAAGACUCCUAUUUGGUUUCAAUAUUAACAUAUAGCAUGAACUACGUGGGUGUUAUUAUUUUCAGUAGUAAAUGACUGCUUCACCGAUGAGUUUAGUUUAAUUCAAUCGACUCCUGUGGGAUCUUGAUCUUCAAACGUUAUUUGGUGUGUGCGAUUUUUUUGUCAAUUAACUGUGAUGUAGAGUUUCAUGGUGCCGUGGUGGUGACGAUCAGGGAGGAUCAUGUAGUUGGUUUCAAAACCAAUUGUUAGGUUAAUUAUUAAUUAUUCUUUUUCCAGGAGUGAUUAGUUAGGUUGCUAAAGAAUUUGAAUUUAUUAGAAUUCUGUUUUUCUAUAUAUGUACAUAUAUGUGAGUGUAAAUAUUUUAAUAUUAUUAUUAUUAUUAUUUUCAUUUUAACCUUAAAAGGGGUUAAUCUGUUGAGAAGAGGCACCUUCUCUGUGUGCCUGUGGCUUGUUCAUUUUCUCAUAAACUGUAUUUGGUAGCUCAAAUGUUGAAAGCAGUUUUUGGGAACAAAAUGUCUGCUUACACCAUGACAAAACUGGCCACAAUUUGCCGAUUGGGUUGAUAACAAAAGCCAGCAACACAAAAUAGGUAGAAAAACAGUUUGUUCGAUGAUGUGAGACCACUGGAGGUCUUUUUUUUUUUUUUUGCAUGUUAUUUUUUUUUUUUUUCAUUCUGGUGUUGAUGUUGUGAUGGAAAUACAUGAAGAGGCGUCUGUGCUCCCCGGGAGGCUCAUUAACCAUUUCAUCUUUGGAUGGCUUUUAAGACUUCAGAAAGCAGUCUGCCCACCUGGCCUCUGAGGCACACGGGAGCUAAAAGCCACCUGGGCACCUGAAGCCUGGGGUUUCUUCCCGGCUUUACCUGUCUAUCAAAACUCCUCACUUGAUCUUUGAAAGCAGAAUUUAAAUUCCCUCUUCCUCUCCAAGACUCCCCCACUGAAUUAAUGGCUGUUGGUGCACUUCUCCAAGUGUAAAGCAAAAUUUUCAGUUUGAGUUUUUUUUUUCUUUUUUUUAAAUUAAAAAAAAAAAAAAACCUUCUCGUCUGGGAAUACAGUUGACGAAAAUUUCAACAACUAAAAUUAGACAUCGACUUUCAUAUCUGGACAGACUGUAAACAAAUGUGAAUGUUCCACACGAGACUUUGCAUCUUGUUAAAAUGAUGGGGGUUCAAGGCAGACUCGGGUCUUCUUUUUGCCUUCUCAUGCUUUGUGUGUGUGUGUGUGUGUACUCGCGCACGUGUAUGAGGGUCUUAUUUUGUUCGCCUUCAAAAUCAGAUACUCCAGGACAAAACCUUAGGAUGGGGUUGAUGUUUCUGCUUAUCUAAUCUUUGUUUUCACAAAUAAAUACAAAUAACUCAAACUGAAACUUGAUGGCUUUGGUGAUAAUAAAUUAGCAGCCACGGGGAAAUUUUCUUCAUUUUAAUGUUUCUUUCACAACCCACAUUUAGUUUCGGUAGGAAAAUUAUUAACCUUUUCGACAGAGGCUGAAACACGGGUGCAGGACUGGCUGUAGAAGGGUUGGCAGGUUGGGUUCUGUUUUGAGAGGCUGCUGUACACAGCUUUUUUCUCUUUCUGUCUCUUGCUUCUCUUUUCUUUCUUGAGUAAUUGCUUUCUUUGACAGCGAUGGACAUGACUUAAAAAAUUCCUCAUCUGCUCUCUGUUUCAACGUGGGCAUAUUUGAUGGUGUUUGUCUUUUGGUUUUUUAAUGUGGGGACCGAGGAUUUCUAUUUCCUAUUCUCUUCACUGUUUGGAUUUGCGAAAGAGGAAGUGUCCUUUGUCUCCCUAUUUUUUUCUGCAUUCCAGUCCAGGCUGUGAGUCCCCCACCCCCGGUUUUAAAAAGCCCACCCAGCUGCGUUUCAUGGAGGGCAGAGGGCUCUUGUCAGCAGCAGCCCCGUGCUCCUGGCUGCCCCGGGGAUUGGUCGCAUGUCAGGGUCCAUCAGACUCAAGCAGGUCUGCCGGUUUAGGCUUGUCCUGAAGGGCCCAUGGCCCCAGGCUUGCGUGGAAGGCUUUGGGGUAGGGGGUGGCGCUCCCCUGUCCCAGGGCUGUCCCGUUCUGGAGGGGAUGCGAGGGAGAGGGGUCACGAUCAUGCCAAUCCUGAAGCACACACAGGGGCAGAGCCUGGGCAGGAGGGGCAGGAGGGGCUGGAGGUCCAGGAAGGCAGUUUCUGUUUUAGAUGUCCACCCAACUGGGCAGCCACACCUGCAGGCCCGGCCGGGGUGCCUCCCUGUGUCAGGCAAGCCUGUGCUCCGUGCACUGGGUCCCCUGCCUGUGGGGCUGUUCCUGCCUUUGCCAAGGUGAGCGUGGAAACUGAGGAAGGCUCAUGUCAUCCGUGACAGGAGUGUGCCCUGCCAGUGUGUCGCGGGUGUUUUUUUUUUUUUUUCUCUUCUUCUUUCUUCUUUUUCUCAUACUUCCUGUAUGAGGUUAGCUUUUUAAAAUGAUAAACAAACUAUGUUUUUUUUCAACUUUUUUUUUUUUGGCCCAGUUGCUGCCUGUGCUCUUAGGAGCAUUUUGUGGGUGUCCUCCCUCUGCAUACGGGUGCUGUGUGUGUAGAGCUCAGGGGCUGUGGGCUUUGCACCCCCCUCCCCCAUGGCAGCAAGAUCCUACCCUCACAUGAUGCCAGUGGACAUCAUCGGGGCUCAGGUGUUCUCAUGGCCUCAUGAGCUGAGGGGGUGAAGCAGUCUGGGGCUGGGUGAGCCUUGUGAGGCUGGAGGGACCUUUGAUCUGGGGGGGCACUAGGGAGCAGGUUUGCCACCCCCUGGGGCUCAGUAUCCAGAAAGGAGGUUAUCACCCUAGGCCACCCCAAGACUCAUUCAAAGUCCUGGAGGCUUCAAGCUGCUGCUGGAUCUCCCCUCCCACUCUGGGGACUCUGGAGAGAGCCAUCCAGUUAAGUUUUGCUUACCAGGAACCUAAGCAGGUGCAGUCACUGUGGUCAGUAGGGACUGAGCCUAGGGACAGUGGCUACAAUGGUGACCUCCCUCUCGUAGUGCUUGCCUCUGUCUGACUCACCCGGGGAAGUGGAAACAUGCACCUUUGGACCCCACCCCCUCCAUUUCCAAUGAGAAGACUCAGAGAAGCCUGAGAAUCUGCAUUGCUCACACGCGCAGGCACCUAUGUGCUAGGUGGCACUGAGCCCCGGGUGACGGGGAGGCCCCACGGAGUCUGUGUGUCGUCCACAUUCUCCCCAAGGGGUGGAUCCCUCCUGUGUCCUCACACAACCUUGGGGGUAAGGCCAGCCUUCCAGAGGCCCUUUGCAUUUCUUAGUAACUGUCCAGCAAGGUCAUCUGUAAUUUUGGCCUUUUGCUAUGUCAACCACACUAUAUCUGCUGAAAUGUCUAUGACAUUUAGCUCUUUGAAAAAUGGGUUUUAUGGAGCCAAUACAGUGGCCAAGGUGAGGGUCCUCUUCAGGACUAGACCAGAAAAUAACCUAGUGAGGGAGGCCCUUGGGUCGUGACCUCCAUCCAUUUCUACCUUGGGUAUAAACUGAGGGACCUGUUAGAGUAUCUCUCUGUUCCAAGGUCUUCUGCAUGGUCCUUGGGGGCCAGCUGUGGCGUCCUCUGUGAGCUCUUGAUCACCCCAGGUGGCUGCAGGACUUGGUGACCAGGAUGCUGGAUUGCAAGAUGUGUGUCACCCUUGACCUGCUGGCUGUGGGACUCCUUGUGCCUCAGGAUAAUCCUGACAGCCCCCUCCUGAGAGAAGACUCCGGGAGGUGGGAGGUGCUCAGUGUGUGGUGGCCAAGGGCACGGGGUGUGUCGGGGCAGCCCUGGGUUGAAGCACGCUCUGCUGCCAGGGGCCUGGAAGUCCCUCCACGAGGACACAGUCUGUUUCGGAGCAAUGCGUAGGUAUGUCAUGAUGGGGGACACUUUGGAGAAAUUGCUUCUCAGGUCAGAUCCCUCCAAAUGGCUCUGAAUCCGCUUGGAGCCAUGUGGAUGUUGCUCUGGACACAGGAUCCCCAUCAGGGAUAUGGGCAAUGCUGGUGGCUUGCUUGCUGGCCCUGACAUCUCCAGCAGCUCAAAACCCUAGUCACUUGCCCAAAGAGCCAUCUUGUCCCUAAAGAGAGUCCAUGAUGAUCAACGACCUUGUUCUGAGAAAUAAAAACAGGGGCCUGAGAUCCACACACCUUGGUCUCACUGAGCAGGCCCUACCCUCCCCCCGACUGCUUGAAAUCUCAACAAGCUGACCUGCAGCCCUGCCCCGAACAGCCCGGGGGGCCUCGAUGGCCAUUUUCCUAUGAAUUGCUGAGGCCCUUGGUGGCAAGGGGGGUAGGACAAGCUCAGGUGUGUCCUUUGCUGGGGUGGGGGGCCUGGGGGCUCUGGAUUGGCCUCUCACAGGUGAGGAACUGGUUUUCACUUCCCCAGGUACUUCCUGGAAGUAGAGGCAUGGAGGGGUCAACUCCAGGGACCAAGACCCUGCCCUCUGGUGUGAGGGGGAGUUGGGGUGGGCGUCUGGGCUCCCGUUGCUCGUCCCUCCUUGGACUUCCAUGCCAGGACCUUUCCUCUGGUUGCUGACAGGAGCAGAAAGAGCACAUUGAGGAGCUGGCUCGGAGCAUGCAGAGCUGGCCUGGGCUGCGUUUCCGGCCCCUGACGAGGGCUCAUAUUUAGCGUGGUGUAUGGCCCCCAGGCUUCCCUCAGGUCUGUGGGCAAGUGGCUUCUGCACCCGCCAUGGGGAGCGCUAAGUGGGGGACCUGAGCACCAGAGACCUGCAGGAACAGCAGCACUGAGCCAAGCUGGGAGGGAGGGUGGCCGGCCUUAGGUAUGUGUAACCAGAACCCUUGGGGCCUGUCCCAACUCUGGGAGGUGCUGGAGGUCUCCACCCACCCCAGUGCAUAGUGGCAGGUGGAAUCCAUGUGAGCGAUUUCCUUGGAAUUGGGGCAAACCUGAAGUAGUCCCCCCUGGGUCCUCCUGGCUCCUUCAGUGACAGGUGGAGCCCUCGUGGAGUCCCCGGGAAUUUCAUCAAUUCAUGCAAAAUCUCCAGACAAGGGAGAGCAGGCCUCGCAUGGCGAGCUGGGUUCCAACUCUUGGCAGGUUGGGCCGCUGUCCCAUGGGGACUAGCUGGCAAAAGCCCAGGUGUCCCUUCCAGCAUGACCUGGGAAGGCUCCCUAUUUUCCCAUCUACAGGCCUUGCUUUCUUCACCUGUAAAACUGAGGGUCACCCGGGGACCUUGGGGCCUAUGGCCUCUCGCUGUGACUUUAAUCCAUGUGCUCAUGGUGGGGUGUGCCCUCUCCAGCUGCCUGGGCUGCGGCAGUUCAUGCUGAUCCCAGCUGCAAGGGCUGGCUGGGAAGCCUCCCCUCUCAGUGGUGGAACGGGGGGGACCAGGGUCCCCUUCCACCCAUGUGGCCACUGGUGCGUCACUUACUUCCCGUUUCUCUUUGCCCACCCAGGAAGGCGCUGCUGACAAAAUCCUGGGUCCGGAUGCCAGGCUGUGAGCCCCACUAGAAAUGCUAGCUCACCCGGCUGGGGGUGCGGCCCCCUGAGACGGUGCUGGCCUGACAUGUGUGAGGCCCUGGGCUUGAUCCCCAGCACAGAGAGGUGGGGGGGCAAACAGGCUCUCAGGUCAUGGGACAGGGGGCCGUUUCCCUGCAGAGUCAUCUAGGGUGUUCCUUCCAGAAGGGCCGGCUCCUCAACUGCCCCCGACUGCUCUCCCCAUGGCCACUAGAGGCCAUAAGUCCUGUAGGAACUGGUGCAGAUCCACUGACUCAUGUGUACACGACACUGGGGGACACUACGUGAAAUUUUGAGAAAUAAAAGACUGUCACAAAUAGCCACGUGUUGCCAUGACCCCAGGAGAGGCUUUGCUCUCUGCGGCCUGCAGCUCAGGGAGAGGUUCUCCAGGGAGGGGGUGCACCCUGCCCUCUGCACCACACAGCUCGGCCCUGCUGCCAAAGGCCUGGUGCGACGGAGGGCUUGGCCCGCCCUCCCCCAGAUGUUUGGAAAGCACACAAUGCGCUGAUCUGAGCCGCCUCCUUUAUUUCCUAACUUCUCACGUCCCUUGUACUAGGCGGCGCAUUGUGAAUGAAUCUCUAGGGGAAGGACCGAGCUUUUCCAAAAUGCCACAUCCUCCCUCCCACUUUACAGAAAAUGUUGUGACAUUAAUGGAAGGAAAUGGGGGAGGGGCGGUCCCCAGGCGUUCACAGUGAACCCUCCUGGCACCUUGGGCAGGCUGCAGGGGGAGGGGACAGCUGAGGAGCCAGGGAAGCUCAGAGUCAUGCAUCUCUUCUCUGGCCAUCCACAGCGCUGGCCAGAGAACAUUGCUGGAGAGAGUGGGCUGGCGUGGACUUGGCCACCCUCCCAGGGGAGCCCUGUUGCCAGUCCCCUCCUGGGAAAACUGCUCUCCCGAAAUGCGUCUGAGCACAGAUCUGGCCUGUGGGGCUACUGUGGGGACCCUGGGGACAUGGCACUAUCUGCAUUUCUGAAUGUGCCCUGCUUCUGUCUUUUGGAAAUACCCUUUCACUUAUUUGAAAGAUCUGAAAAUGAUCUUCUGCAAACAAGGAGGCCGACGGUGCUGGCGGCAAGCGGCGGGGCGGUUAUUAAUAGAGCCACAGUCUUUGGGGAGCUCAGUCCUUGCAGCCUCUGCAGCCUCCUGAGGAGGAGGGUUUCCAUCUUUCCUUCUCUCCUUACCAGGGCUCCUCGGCUGAAGCUCAGGUAGCUCCUGAGUGUUGGCUGAGGCUCCUGGGAGACUCCCGUCCCCUGAGGUGGGAAGAGGAGAGGUGACACACUGAGUGAGAGUUCUAUGUGACCUCUAGGGUGUCUCUGGGCCCCUGGGGAGGGGAGCUCAGUGUGUCACCUGGGCAAACUCCUGGGUGUCUCUGAAGUCCUAUGCUACUCUUCAGGCAAUCAACAUCAGGAUUCGGAGAGGAGCCUCAGGGUCCCCUGGGGGUGAGACGCAGCUGGAGAAUCAGACCUGGCCUCAGCUUUUCAAUAAGCAGACAGGAUGGUCCCGCGCUAAGCAGUGAGCUUCUGGGGACAUUUCUGGUGGCUUCUGAGUUAUUUUUAGGUGGACACUGCCUGUCUCCAUCACCACCUGCAGCUCUCAUUGUCACUGUGUGAAUAGAUGCUGACCAAUUCGACUCCCCGGCUCACCGUGGCAUUUACAGUCUCUUCCUUUUGGUUUCCAUGGAGUGACUGUCUCUCAUUGUGGUUGGCAGUGACCUGUGUUUUUCAUGCAUGUUUUUGUUUCAGAAUAACUGGGAGACGGAACAGGAAGCUCUAUGACACACUUGAUCGAAAAUGACACAGACUCAGAAAAACCAGGACUCAGCCCCCCAGCGCCUCUGCCUGCUGCCGGCUGGAAGGCAGGACAAGGGGUCUCCUGGGACCGGAUUCUAGCUGCUGUGGACGCUCAGGGUUUCCAUGUUCACUGGGAUGUUUCUGCAAUCUUUUGGUCAUGGAUGGUGCACUCGUGAUGUUGUCUUAUUUAUCCGGCCAGUCUCUUGUGUCUUAAUCCCUCUCCUUCAUUAAAGCAAAACUAAAGAAAACCAAACUGUUUGCUUAUUCGCUGUAUGGAAACCCCAGCUGAAGGGGCCGACCCAUGUCCACUGAGCUUCCCGAAGGCACAGGUGAUGCUCGUCUCCACCACGUGUUCCUUACGAUGUUGAGCUUGAACCUCAAUUACUCAGCCAUGGUUGUCCUACUUCUUAAAUCUCCAGAAGGUCUCUCUAGAGUCAGCAUGGCCAGGUCGACCUUUGAGAAGAACCCUGGAAUCCAUCUGGAAAUCUCUUGCCUCGCCCACCCUGAUUCUGGCUUGCACCUGUGACCCCAAGAUCACCAGGAGCCUUUCAGCUGGGGAUCUUGGCCUUGUCUGUGUCCUCCUCCCUGCCCCACAUCCACUACCCCUUUGCUUAUUCAUUCCCUAAAGUUUUCUCUGGGGCCUACUGUGUGCCCAUGGCUGCCGACAAGGCCCAGGUUGUGGCCAGCUCUGCCCCCACCUCCCAGCGCUGCUCACCUCCUGAGGGGUUUCGCUCAGGGAGCGCCGGACAGAUCACCAGGCCUGGCUCACUGAGAUGCCCUGAUUCCCCAGAUCCAUGCCUCAGAUCUGAGGCCUGGAACUGGCCCCUGAAUAGUCCUCAAAGAAACAAGAUGGCAGGCCAGCCUCCCCUGCCCCAGGCCACGAGCAGGACAACCCACUUCCCUGAGGAUGUGCCGAGAGAGGCCACUUGUUGUCACCUCCCAGUACUGUCUCUUCAUCUAUAAGCAGACGUUCCAGAACAAUGCUGAGUGGGUCAGCUCGUCACUUCUCCGCAAGGCUGCCACGCUGAGCCGUCUGGCCUUCUGACCAGGGUUUUGGUGGGCACUUCGAGUCCAUCUCUGAGGCUGGUUGACGCUGUGGCCAGGACUGGCCAGUGUCAGCCAGGCUCUCUCCAUGACACUGCCCAACAGGAAAGGUGGCCUGCGAAUCGAUUCGCAUCAGAAACCCAAAGUUGCUCAGCUAUGUUUUUAAAAAAGUUUAUUUGCUUAUAUUCCUGGAAAAUUGUGUUGUGGAGGGACGUGUCCUCAGUGGGCUGUCUCUAGCUGCUGCUUCUCAGCAGGACAUUAAGAAGGCCAGAUAAAGUGACUCUUAAGAU